CGCGUACGCGUGUGCUAGCUAGCUGCAUCGCGGAUCGAUCAGCAGCAGCUGGCUAGCCGAAGAAGUGGUGCUUCUUCUUCCCCUCGCCGCGGCCGGACUCCUCGUCCUCGGCGUCCUCCGCCGACUCCUUGUACUCCUUCUUCUCGUGGUGCUCGUGGAACGCGUACCCGCCGCUGCCAAUGGCCGCCACCGCCGCCACUUCCUCCUCGAUCUUAUGCCGGUGCGCGUUCUCCGGGUCCUUCUUCACCUGGUGCUUCUCGUACUACACACAUGCACACACUGGCCGUUAAUUCGCACCAUCAAUCAACGAUAGAAACUUGCGUUCGUGCGCCUAAACAUGUUUGCGCGACGAAUUAUCGUUCGGGAGGUACGUACCAUGGCGAAGGCGCCGGAGGCGAGGGCACCUAUCUCGCCGAGGUGCUCCUUGUGCUUGUGCUCCUUCUCCUCCUUCCGGUACUUCUCAGUCUCGCCCCGGGACGACCCGUACUCCUGGUCGUCGCCGCCAGAUUUUUUGUACCCGCCGCCGAUGUACUCGUCGUCGCCACCGGACUUCUUGUAUCCGCCGCCGCUGUACUCGUCGUCGCCACCGGACUUCUUGUAUCCGCCGCUGCUGUACUCAUCCUCGCCGCUGGACUUCUUGUACCCGCCGCCGCUGCGGUCGUAGUCGUCGGUGCCGGACUUGUUGCGGCCGUAGUCCUCGUUGCUUGCCUUGUUGUAGCCGCUGUCGUACUCGUCCCCGCCGGACUUCUUGUACCCGGCGCCGCUGUACUCGUCGUCGCCGGUGGACUUGUUGUAGCCGCCGCGGCCGCUGCUGCGGUCGUAGUCGUCCGUGCCGGACUUCUUGUACCCGGUAUCGUAGUCCUCGGCGCCGGACUUGUUGUAGCCACCUUCGCGGCGGUCGUAGCCCUCGUUGCUGGUCUUGUUCUCGUAGUCGCCGCCGGCGCCGGACCUGCCGUAGCCGCUGCUGCCGUACUGGUCAGCCAUCUCGAUCGAGUUAGGGACUACGGGAGAGAAACAAACUUGUCACGGGCUCACGGCUCACGGCUCACUAGUGUAAUAAAGCUCACUGCUUGAUACUAAGAGCACCGCAACGUGGAGUAUUUAUAGCGGGAGCACAAGGUAUCUAGCGGACACUGGCACGGCUGUCAGUUUGGCAAGCAGAUUGCGAUUACUUUGCAGCAUACGUAUUGCUGAAUUCAAACAAAUUCACAGUUUUCACAGUUCUUUGAAAAAGAUCAAAGGUCAUAUAUUAAGUAGCGCAAACCCUUAUAAAACACACAUACAAAAUUUGAAAGAUACAUAAAGAAAAAUUGGGGUGCCAAAAUUUUCUUCCUACAUUCAUCUGUAGACGAUGCAUUCGUAAGCAAGUCACCUCUGGCAUUUGUCUCAGCGGUGCAAACUUAUUGAAACUCAAAAGAUUGUAGACUAAAAUUUGGUAUUAAUUAAUAAAAUAAAAGUGAUUGCACACUGUAGAUCAAAUACUCGUAACCUAAAAUGCAAUCUCAUUUAAGUAAUCACAUUUAGGUCAAAGAAUGAUUUGGGAGGUAAUCACAUUUAGGUUAAAGAACGAUUCGGAAGGCCGGUGAUAGAGCGAGGCGGCGCGAUAGUGGACCUAAACGUGGUGCAGUGGCGUCAUGAGCCCCAUGUCGAUGACCCCAAUGAGAGCGCUCGUGCUAUAGCACUAGGCACACUCACCAUUGCCACCAUUGGGGCGAGCAUCCUAACAGCCUCGCCUGCGGAUAAGAAGCCGUAGGUCUUCGUCUAUGUUGAUGGUGAAACAACGAUAUAGUCUAUUUCAUGAGCAACAUCAAUGGCAUGAUGAUGGUAUGCUCACGAACGUCUUCAGGAAUUCGGGGCCCCGGUGCGAGAAGGAAAAUGGGCCCCUCGCAUUUUUAUUCCCUAGCUGCAAAGUGAUCGUUGUCGAGACGCCAAUUCAGUCAAAGCGAAAAGAUAGAUCGAUCUACUCGGAAGAGAUGGGAAGGGAAGUGAUUAGCGAACGUCUGUACUGCGUGUGCGUUGUGGUUGUCGUUCGGUCUACACAUCAGAUCGGUCCUUCGAAAUCCUCAAACCAAAAAAAAGAUCGAUCCAUCGAAUGAGAUGGGCAGCGACUGGCUUCAGCGACCAGGCCCUAGAAGCCCAAAAGAAGUGCCAGGGUGAGUAAGCUGCACCUACCAAGCUAAGCUUUCCUCAAAAGGACGUCACCGAUUCCUUUUCAAUGCCCACCCUUUAUUUAGCUGUUGGGGCAAGGCAAGCAUAAGGAAAGUGUAGGUUCACACUCCUUCUCAGCAGGCAUCCUACUCUCAAGAAGGUCUUGCCCCAAAAGCAGAGGCAUUUGGUGAGGAGCUAUGUUUGUACUUUUUCAUCCCGGGUUAUUUCUACACAAAAAAUACAAAACUUAAGCCUAGAACCCACGGUCCAAGAUGUGAGGAUGUGGCAUCCAUCGUGUGUGCGUCCUGAGUUGUUUUUUUUUGGUCCUAAAUGUGAUCUGUUGAACAUGACUGUGGCUAAAUUGAUUAAUUUCUAAUUAUUUGUCAUAAAGUGUGCAAUCGCGCUUUGAGUUGCUGGACUCGUGUCGUAUUUCACUCGAGCUUGUAGCUAGAACUAAGUGGUAAAAAGUCGUUGAUGUAGAUCAGUAGAGGCUACCAGCCGCGUCUGCAUAGCAGUUCGCCGCGUCGGAGAAGGAAAUGCUCGAGAGGGCAUGUAGAAUGUACCAAGUACGACCUCACGGAGGUGAGAAAUACAAAUCUCACACCCUCCUUGAAAAGGCCUAGGCUGACCAAGUGACGCUGUCGUGGACUAAGGGAUCCCGGCCUAGUCGACCUAGUCUAUGGGCUGGAUUAAUGGCCCAAUACUGAAGGAAAGAAUCCGGAGGCCUCUAAACCUAUGGUGUAAGAACAUCGAGUUCUCCAAGGAACUGGCGUGCAGUCCUAAAGGUUUAAUAGAUUCUGCAUCUAUUCCAUAGAUGGUAACCGGCCAUAUGUAACCCUAGAUACCCCUGAUGUCUAUAUAAGCCAGAGGAUUUAGUCUGUAGAGACAUGUAUUCGUCAUCAUCCUUACAGUUUAGACCACAACUCAUGAUUUCAAGGUAGAUCAACUAUAUACGUUGAUACACCCAUAAUACAAACAAGAGCAUGACGUAGGGUUUUACCUCCUUCAAGAGGGCCUGGAUCUGGGUAGAGACACUAUGUCCUCUGUCUUCUGUCCAUCGGUCUGAUCAACAUCUUGCCCCCAUUACCCGAGGUAUGUCGGUUUUGACACCGACAUUUGUGCUUUCAUUGAGAGCUCGUUUUUGGAUCACCAGAGAGUGAUGGCUCACCUGCAGUUUGACAUCAUCAUUGGUUAUGGUGACAUCUUUGUUUCCGGCCAACUUUUUGACUUGGGCAGUGUGGUGCUGCACGCUGACUCGACCAACCGCCUUGGCCGCGUCGAAACUUUCGCCCCGAACUAGAUUGUCAUGUUUGGAAGUCUGGAGUACGUCACGGAUACCCGAGAAGACCUAGUUUUUUUUGGAACAAAUCUCAGAUCGAUUUGAAGAACCCUCCAAUACUACUCCUUCCGUUCCUAAAUAUAAGUCUUUUUAGGAAUUCUACUGGAGGACUACAUACGGAUAUAUAUGGACAUACUUUAAAGUGUAGAUUCAUUCAUUUUGCUUCGUAUGCAGUCAUUUAGUGAAAUAUCUUAAAAGACUUAUAUUUAGGAACAGAGGGAGUAGAACUCUAGAGAAGGUCUCCGAUCUGACCAUCAAGUCCGAUCUCUUGACCAAGCUAAUUCCGGAGACGGAUCCGGUGGCCGGCGAGCCUGAUCCGGUCCCCUCCUCGAAUGGGGCCCAGAGCCAAACCUGUCCACAGACCUGCUGUAGGUCUCCGAGGAAACCUCCCUCGCUGCCGACCUAGUGUUAGCCCGGAGUGAUGAGGAUAACGGGCUUGUAGUAAGCAGCCCGAACAAACACAUCUGGAUUAGGCAGACUUAUAGCCAGGCCCUCCAUGCCAAUGAGCUCUCUCAAAUAAACGAGAUGCUGGAUCGAAUACAGAACCUGGCAAUCUCUACCACAGUGUACGUUCGGAUCGGAUGUAAAUCCAACAAUUAGGAAAUUUUCAUCCCACCCACCACCACCUAGUCGCCACGGCCGAGGACGUGACCGACAUGCUUGACAUCGGCUCCGACGAGGGCAUAGACAUGGAAGAAGGUGACCCUACCAAUUUUGGAGCACUCACACUUGCGGCCAUUCCCGGCACGGGGAAUUGGCCCGCAACAGCUACAUACAAUGUCCACGUCAUUGACACUUCAAAGGAAGAUCCCAUGAAGGAGCCCAAGGAGGGCUCUAAACGACGUCUCCCAAAGCGGAAGCCGACGAGUACGAGUGGAAGGACAAGGAAGACAGACUCCACGGGCGACGGUGAUCACGGCGUUGCCCCCGAUCCCUCAUAAAGCUAGGGUGGAAACGAUCAAGUCUCACCUGCCCAACAAAAUGGGCUAACGGGGACGCCUUGAAAGGAUGGCCCCGAUAACAUGGACACCUCAGAUGAUGGCUCGGACGAGGAUUACCUCCCCAAGUCCAAGGACAAGGUUAGCCUCAGACCCGAAGACUUUGUGGUGCCCACGAACCCAUCCGGGCAGAUCCGUUUUUAGCGCCAUCUAAUCGCAAUGGCACGAAGCAUGAAAAAGAAACAUCAAGAGUUGUGCACUCAUGAAAACAUUCUCAAUGAUGAGUGGGCAAAAUUCCUAGCAGCCGAGAAAGAGCUCGAAGCCCGAUGUGAGGUACCCAAGUCGUUCCCACAUCGGAAGGUGCUGGCCAAUUUUGAUCACGAAGCAAGAGAUGACGAAUUGCAUGUAUAUGUCAACACAUAUCAGACCGAACGGCCCCUAGAGUGCAAGACCCGCUAGAAGGGGUACAUAAAGAACUCCGUGCAAAUAUGCGCCCUCAUGGCAAGAUCCCGUGUGAUUUUCUCGAGCCCUUCGACCUCCGCACUAAGUUUCAUGCAAAUGUUGAAGAUGAAAGAGGGGAUGCCUUCCGAGGCACCCCCAAGCUGAGACACUUGAGUCUUCCUUGGAUAUUACCUUGGGGUUUCCUUGGGCAUCCCCAAGAUUAGGUUCUUUCUUCUCCUUAUUCUCCUCAUAUCGGUAUCUCACCGAAAACUUGAAAAUUUCAAUCACACAAAACUUAAUGGAACUUUGUGAGAUGGGUUAGUGUAAUAAAGAUAGAUCAUUCACUUAGGUACUGCCAAGACAAUAUUCAUAAUUGUUCUCAUAUAAUAACUACUAUAUUCUAUCAUUUCCAUAAUUUAUAUCACUAAAUAUAAGCUAGGGAAACAUUAAAACAAGCAAACUAUGCAUGGAAAACAGAAUGUGUCAAAAACAGAACACUCUGUAAAGAUCUGAACUUAACCAUACUUCCAUAUCUCUUAAAAUUCUGAGCAAUUAGUGCAGAGAAAAGAUUUUGCACAUAAACACUGUAUAAAAAUUUCAGAAUGUUUUGGAGCUCCAGUAAAAUCAAAGAAUUCAUAUACUGGACAUAAAGCUUUUUGUUUUUGCACAGAAUCAAAUCAACAAGUAUCCAUACUAUCCCAAAGGCUUUACUUAGUACAUUAUUGAAAUAAAAGACACAAAACAUGAUAACUACAGUAUCUUAAUCAUGUGAACACACAAAAAUAGAAAGGAUAAGUGUUGGGUUGUCUCGCAACAAGCACUUUUCUUUAAAGCCUUUUAGCUAGGCAUGAUGAUUCCAAUGAUGCUCACAUAAGAGGUAGUAACUGGGACAUGCAUGAGAGCAUCAUGAACAACAUGGCAAGAACAUUUAAUUCUAACAUGCUUCCUAUGCAUAGGUAUUCCGCAAACAAACACUUUAUGGAUGCAAGAACCAGCUAGCAUAGGAAGGCAAAACAAGGCAAAACAAGCUUGGGUCAAAUAUUAAGUGCAACAAACGGAAUCUCAAACAUGUCAUUCUCAUCAAACAUUGCAUCCCCAAGCUCGUGGUUUUGCAUAUCAUUAGUAUAAACAUCAAUAGCAUGAAUGGCACCAAUAGUAUCACAAUUAUUAUCAUCAUAACUUUCCAGGUUAGUACCAAAAACAUUUUCAAUACUAUAAGGAGUGUCGUCAUUUUCCCAAUAAUAAUCACUAGAACAAGUAGUAGGCAUAACAAAAUAAUCAUCAAGCGUAUCAUUAUCCACACUACUUUUGGAUUCAUUCUCAACAAUGAUAGGAGCAAAAUUAUUUCCUUUACCUUUUCUUCUCUUCGUCUUAUUCUUUAAUACAUUUUGUGUGGGUUUAAGAAUUUUUUGAGCUUCUUAUUGAAGAGAUUGGUUCGACGGGAAGCUCCUCCUUGCAACAUGAUUAAUUACGAGAAACAAUAUGAGGGUAUUGGGAAACCUUUACCCUUUAAUUAGUAUUUCUCUUAUACUCUAUUGGUUUCUCGUCUUUUUAUAGUUGGCAAUAUAAUCUUUCUCAUUGCAAUUUACUACAAAAAUAUAUAGAUUUCAUGUAGAUUAGUUUCAUUAUCAUUAGUGAUAAGGAAUAUAUCAGACCAAUCAUUUUUUUGUGAUAAUUCUUCACACCCCAAAAAUAAUUAAAGUUCACGGGAGAUCAAAUUAUCACAAUAUUUGGAAAAGGUACGAUAAUGAAAAUGCAUGCAUUGGAAAUUAAGAUGAACAACCCUAUUGCAAAGUUCAAAAUUAAUGGGAUGAAGAGAACAUAAUCUUGUGGCAAGUUCAUCUAUCACUUUAAGCCACCAAUUGGUUUUACCAUGUUUAUGCUUCUUACGAAAUCUAUCAUCCCUAUAUGUCAUGUCUUCGCAAAUUUUAUUAACUUUACAAAAAUUGACAUGCUUAUAAAAAUAUAUUUUUCUCAUGACUAGUGUAAUCAUUAUUUGCAUCAUGGAUAUCCAAAGAAAUCAUACUAACAAUAUUGCUAUCAUGCUCAUCAUUCAAUGAUUUCACAUUAAGAAUUUUUAUAAAUUCUUCCUCUAACAGUUGAGCACAAUUUUCCGAACCAUCAUUUUCACGACACACAUUAUAAAGGCGAGGAUAUGGAGGCAACCUAAAUUCCAUUUAUUGUAGUUCUGUUUUAUAAAACAAAAUUAGUGAAAAGAAGAAAUUAAAAGAUUUAAUUGCAAGAUCUAAACAUAGACCUUCAAGAAGUCACCUCCCUGGCAACGACGCCGGAAAAGAUCUUGUUGUCUACUACACAACUUUAUUCUUGUAGACCGCGUUGGCCUCAAAGCGCAGAGUUUUGUAGGACGGUAGCAAUUUUCCUUACGUUGAUAACCUAAGGUUUAUCAAUCCAUAGAAGGUGUAGGAUGAAGAUGGUCUCUCCCAAAUAACCCUGCAAUCAAAUAGAAGAAACCUCCUUUGUCCCUAACACACCCAAUAGAAUGUUAAAUUGUAUAGGUGCACUAGUUCAAUGAAGAUAUGGUGAUACAAGUGCAAUAUGGAUAGUAGAAAUAGGUUUUUGUAAUAUGAAAAUAUAAAAACAACAAGGUAACAAGUAAUAAAAGUCAUAAUAAACGGUAUUGCAAUGCUUAGAAAUAAGGCAUAUAGUUCAUACUUUCACUAGUGCAAUCUCUCGAUAAUGAUAACAUAAUAGAAUCAUAUGAUCAUCCCUCAACAUGCGACAAAGAAUCACUUCAAAGUUCAUAAGUAGCAGAGAAUAUAAGAUGAAAUUGUUGUAGGUAGUAGAACCCCCUUAAAGCUUUCCUGAUCAAUCUAUUGAGAUAUUUCUAUAAGUGUCACAAAUAUCCCUAGACUUUGUACUAGAAUAACACCUAUGUUACACAUCAAUCAUCCCUAAUGUCACCUAGAUACUCCAAUGUCAAGUAUCCUUGGGUUAAUUAUUUGACAUGCAUCAAACAAAUUUGGAUUCAAUGUAUUCAAUCCAACACAAAUAACUUCAAGGAUUACCUCAAGAUUUCUAUCGGAGAAAGUAGGACAAGAACUUGUAAGAACCCGUAUGCAUAGAUUAGCCCAUUAUCGCCACAAGAAUCCGCAAGUUUAGUACCAAAACAUAUAUCAUGUGAAUGGAUAAAACACCCCAUUGUCACCAGGGUGUCCACAUGCAAGACAUACAUCAAGUGAUCUCAAAUCUAAUAUUCAAUCCUUCAUAGCAAAGUCUCAAAGGGAAAGAUUGAAUUCAUUACAUCAAGAUAGCAAGGGAUAAACACCAUAUAAUCCAACUAUAUUAACAAAUCCCAUGAUACAUCAAGAUCAUUAAAUCUCAAGAACGCGAGGGAGAGUGGUCAAACACAUACCUACUAGGACAUACCCUCAGCCCCGAGGGUGAACUACUCCCUCUUUGCCAUGGACACCACUGGGAAGAUGAAGAUGGACUCUUGUGAUGAUUGCCCCCUCCGGCAGGGUGCCGGAACAAGGGUCCAAAUGAGUUUUCUUUGGUAGAGAGGCUUGUAGCGGUAGAGUGGAAGUUCUAGAUUUAUAUAUGAGAUUUUAUGUAUAUAUUUGAUUUUUCAGCAUUGGAAUCAUGUCAAACAAAGCCACAUGGUGGUCCCAAGCCAUCAGGGAAUGCCCGGGGGGUGUCUGUGCCCUGUUGGCUUGGCAUCAACAGGUGGUCCUCCUUCGAUGUUUUAUUACUCCAGUAUUUCUUUUUUGUUCCAGAAAAAGUCAUCAAAAUAGUUUUGGGUGAUUCCGAUAACUUUUAUUUUCUUCACAAAAAACAAAACCACGAUAAUUCUGCUGAAAACAACGUAAGUCCUGGUUAGUUACAAUUAAAUCAUAUGUAGUGCAUCAAAACCAUAUAAAAGUAUUGUAAACAUAGUUAAAUAUGGCAUGAAUACUUCUUAAAUUAUAGAUACAUUGGAGACGUAUCACAUUGCGAGGUGCGAGGUCUGAGGCCUUGACGAGGCGUCUACGGUUGCGGAGGGUGUUAGCCCCUACAACCUCUUCAGCCGCCGCCCAUUUCCUUGGCAGGGACGAAGUGCCUUUGCUCUCCUUCUCCGCCUCUUCCCAUCCUCCCUGCUCGUCGAAGGACACGAUCCGAACGUCGGUGGACUUUGUGUCCGAAGGAUCUCGGAUCCAAAGACUUUCCUUCUUUUCCCGUGUCCCUACUUGAAGUUAGCUAGGGCCUCUAAAGGCACCACAAGCAGGAGGGCUUGGAUCUCGGGGGUCUUGCCAUCCUCGGGUAAGGGCGACGGGCACUUGAUACGUCCCUCCUUGGAAUCCCAUUUAUAGGGACAAUUGAUGAACUUGAAUUAAUAUGAAAAGAAGGAUUGAUUAAAAUCGACGGCGUUGGCUGAUACGUCUCAAAUGUAUCUAUAAUUUUUGAUGGUUUCAUGCAGUUAUCUUGUCAACUUUGGAUGUUUUAUAUACCUUUUAUAUCUUUUUUGGGACUAACUUAUUAAUUCAGUGCCAAGUGCCAGUUCUUGUUUUUUCUGUGUUUUUGACUCUUUUCUGAUCUGAUUUUGGAACGGAGUCCAAACGGAAUAAAAUCCCCGAAAUAUUUUUUUCCAGAACAGAAGAAGAUCGGCGGACUUCAGGGCCAACGCAGGAGGCCCAUAGGGAGCCCACAAGCCCUGUGGCCCGGCCACCAGGCUUGUGGCCUCCCUGGAGCUCCCGUGCCCUAGCUCUUUGGCCUAUAUAUUCCCUAAAAUCCCAGAAAAAAUCAGGGCGUCCACGAAACCACUUUUCUGCCGCCGCAAGCUUCCGUUUCCGCGAGAUAUCAUCAGGAGACCCUUCCCGGUGCCCUGCCGGAGGGGACUUUGGAGCUGGAGGGCUUCUACAUCAACAUCAUUGCCUCUCCAAUGACUCGUGAGUAGUCCACUUCAGACCUACAGGUCCGUAGUUAGUAGCUAGAUGGCUUCUUCUCUCUCUUGGAUCUUCAAUACAAAGUUCUCCAUGAUCUUCAUGGAGAUCUAUCCGAUGUAAUCCUCUUUGGCGGUGUGUUUGUCGAGAUCCGAUGAAUUGUGGAUUUGUGAUCAGAUUAUCUAUGAAUUAUAUUUGAGUCUUUGCUGAUUUCUUAUAUGCAUGAUUUGAUAUCCUUGUAAGUCUCUCCGAGUGUUGGGUUUUGUUUGGCCAACUAGAUCUAUGAUUCUUGCAAUGGGAGAAGUGCUUGGUUUUGGGUUCAUACGUUGCGUUGACCUUUCCGAGUGACAGAAGGGGCAGCAAGGCACGCAUCGUGUUGUUGCCAUCAAGGGUAACAAGAUGGGCUUUCAUCAUAGAUUUGAGAUUGUCCAUCUACAUCAUGUCAUCUUGCUUAAGGCGUUACUCUGUUCUGAUGAACCCAAUACACUAGAUACAUGCUGGAUAGCGGUCGAUGUGUGGAGUAAUAGUACUAGAUGCAGAAAGUAUCGGUCUACUUGUUUUGGACGUGAUGCCUAUAGAUAUGAUCAUUGCCAUAGAUAACGUCAUGACUUUGCGCGGUUCUAUCAAUUGCUCAACAGUAAUUCGUUCACCCACCGUCUACUUGCUUUCAUGAGAGAAGCCACUAGUGAAAACUACGGCCUCCGGGUCUAUUCACAACUAUCAUCUCCGCUUUCACUUUCACUUUGCUUUGUUUCCUUUUUGUUUUCAGUUCUCACUUUGCAAACAAUCUAUAAGGGAUUAACAACCCCUUCAUAGCGUUGGGUGCAAGCUCUUUGUGUUUGUGCAGGUACUUGUGACUUGACGCAAUCCUCCUACUGGAUUGAUACCUUGGUUCUCAAACUGAGGGAAAUACUUACCGCCGCUAUGCUACAUCACCCUUUCCUCUUCAAGGGAACACCAACGCAAGGCUCCAAGGCCGCGGGGGAAUCCUUUGCAUAUUUGCCAAGGAAAUCCCUAUAGGCGUAGCCGACAUCAGAAGGAUUUCUGGCUCUGUUGCCGGGGAAGGUCUGUUGUUGCAGUAGCAGAAGGAUUUCUGGCACCGUUGCCGGGGAGGAUCACUUGCCGAGGAGUAUCAAGACAAGAAUAAUCUCCCAUCAACACACCGGUUUCUGGCGCCAUUGCCGGGGAGCGAUCAAGUCAAGAUCUAUCCAAGUAAGUGUCACAAACUCAUCUCUUGCAUUUACCUUUUUUUGCCAGUUGCCUCUCGUUUUCCUCUCCCCCACUUCACAUUUUCCAUUUUCAUUUGCCUUUCUCCCUUGCCGUUUUCUUUUGCCUUUUUCCUUUUUUCCUUUGCCCAUUUUCUUGCUUGCUUGUGUUCUUGUUUGUUUGUUGAAGUCAUCAUGGCUGAAAACACCAAACUUUGUGACUUCUUGAAUACUAAUAAUAAUGAUUUUAUUAGUACUCCGAUUGCUCCCGCCACUAGUGCGGAAUCGUAUGAAAUCAACGCUGCCUUGCUGAAUCUUCUUAUAAAAUAGCAAUUUUCUGGCCUUCCUAGUGAAGAUGCCGCAUCCCAUCUUAAUACUUUUGUUGAACUUUGCGAUAUGCAAAAGAAGAAAGAUGUGGAUAAUGAUGUUGUUAAAUUGAAGCUUUUUCCGUUCUCUUUGCGAGAUCGUGCGAAAACUUGGUUUUCUUCUUUGCCUAAAAAUAGUAUCGAUUCUUGGAAUAAGUGCAAAGAUGCUUACAUAUCCAAGUAUUUUCCACCGGCUAAGAUUAUCUCUCUCCGUAACGAUAUCAUGAAUUUCAAGCAACUUGAUCAUGAACACGUUGCACAAUCUUGGGAGAGGAUGAAGUUAAUGAUUAGAAAUUGUCCCGCUCAUGGCUUGAGUUUGUGGAUGAUUAUACAAAUCUUUUACGCUGGUUUGAAUUUUGCUUCUCACAAUAUCUUGGACUCCGCCUCAGGUGGAACGUUCAUGUAAAUCACGUUAGGAGAAGCUACAAAACUCCUAGACAAUAUCAUGACCAACUACUCUCAGUGGCACACUGAAAGGUCACCUGCUAGCAAAAAGGUACACGCUAUAGAAGAAAUUAACUCGCUUAGUGCUAAGAUGGACAAGUUGAUGAAUUUGGUUGCUAGUAGAAAUGCUCCUUUAGAUCCUAAUGACAUGCCACUAUCUUCCUUGAUUGAGAGUAGCAACGCUAGUUUGGACGUUAAUUUUGUUGGUAGGAAUAAUUUUGGCAACAACAAUGCUUUUAGAGGAAACUAUGUUCCUAGGCCUUUUCCUAGUAACUCCUCUAACAACUAUGGCAAUUCCUACAACAACACUUAUGGAAAUCAUAACAAAUUAACCUCUGAUUUAGAGAAUAAUAUCAAAGAGUUCAUCAACUCUCAAAUGAUUUUCAAUGCGUCCAUAGAGGAAAAACUACUCAAAAUAGACGAUUUGGCUAAGAGCGUUGAUAGGAUGUCUUGCGAUAUUGAUGCUUUGAAAGUUAGAUGUGCUCCUCCCAAGGUUAACUUGGUUGAAACUUUAAAAGCUAUGCGUGUCUCCAUGAAUGGGAGCAAAGAAAGAACUGCCCAAAUUCGCGCUAAGCAUGAACGGUUUAAAAGGGUGCGUUCUAGUGAUGCAAAUCACGAAGAUCUUAAAGUGCUUGGUGUGACUCCUCUUGAAUCUUUGUUUCCGCGUGUCAAACCUAUUGAUGAAGGGACUGGAUAUGAAUCCACUUUGGUUGAAAAACGCCCCAAUGAUUCGGAGUCCACCUAUCUUGAUGAUAAAGAUGUGGAGAGUGGAGUAGAAGAAAUCAAAAUAUUGGGUAGUAAUGAAACUCCCACUUUGGAUUUCAAGGAAUUCAAUUAUGAUAGUUGCUCCUUGUUUGAAUGCAUUUCCUUGAUGCAAUCAAUUGCAAACUCUCCACAUGCUUAUAGCCAAAGCAAAGCCUUUACCGCUCAUAUUGUAGAUGCUAUGAUGAAAUCUCUUGAAGAGAAACUCGAAUUAGAAGUCUUUAUACCUAGAAAACUUCAUGAUGAGUGGGAACCUACUAUCAAAAUCAAAAUAAAAAACUAUGAAUGCAAUGCUUUGUGUGAUUUGGGUGCUAGUGUUUCCGCGAUUCCAAAGUCUUUAUGUGAUAUUCUUGGUUUUCAUGAGAUUGAAGAGUGUUCUCUUAAUUGGCAUCUUGCGGAUUCUACUGUCAAGAAACCCAUGGGAAGGAUCAAUGAUGUUUUUAUUGUUGCAAAUAAGAACUAUGUACCCGUGGAUUUCAUUGUACUUGACAUAGAUUGCAAUCCUUCAUGUCCCAUUAUUCCUGGUAGACCUUUCCUAAGGACUAUUGGUGCUAUCAUCGAUAUGAAGGAAGGGAAUAUUAGAUUUAAAUUUUCGCUAAAGAAGGGCAUGGAGUAUUUUCCUAGAAAGAAAAUAAGAUUGCCUUAUGAAUCUAUGAUGAGGGCUACUUAUGGUUUGAGCACCAAAGAUGACUAUACGUGAUUCCAUCACCUUAUGCCUAGCUAAGGGCGUUAAACAAUAGCGCUUGUUGGGAGGCAAUCCAACGAAUCUAUCCUUUUUCUUUCUGUUUUGUGUUUUCCACACUUUCAUAAUUCUGUAGUGAUUGUGUUUUUUUGUGUUUCUUUUGCGUUUGUGCCAAGUAAAACCGUUAUGAUUAGUCUUGGGGAUGAUCGUUUGGUCAUGCUGGAAAAGACAGAAACUUUCUGCUCAGGAAAAGAAUUUUCAUUUUUUCCUGUGAGAGAUUUUGAGUUGAUUCUUUUUGCUGCUGAUUGCUACGCAAAUUCUUCAGAAUGUCAUUAUUUUUCAGACCCCCCCCCCCCCCCCCUACCAGAAGUAUACGAAGUAUAGAGAUUGCUACAGACUGGUCUGCUGUUAGCAGAUUCUGUUUUUGUUGAGUUGGUUGCUUAUUUUGAUGAAACUAUGGAUAGUAUGGGGGGUAUUAGCCAUGGAAGAUUGAAAAUACAGUAACCCAACAUCAACAUAAGUAGAAUUUAAGUUUUCUACAGUACCUAAGGAAGUGGUGGUUUGCUUUCUUAUACUAAUGAUAUCAUGAGUUUUUGUUUAAGUUUCGUGUUGUGAAGUUUCCAAGUUUUGGGUGAAGUUCUUAUGGACAAAGAGAUAAAGAGUGGCAAGAGCUCAAGCUUGGGCAUGCCCAAGGCACCCCAAGUUGAUUCAAGGAUGCCGUAAAAGCCUAAGCUUGGGGAUGCCCCGGGAAGGCAUCCCCUCUUUCGUCUUCAAUCCAUCGGUAACGUUACUUGGGGCUAUAUUUUUAUUCACCACAUGUUAUGUGUUUUGCUUGGAGCGUCUUGUAUCGUAGGAGUCUUUUAUUUUUGUUGUGUCACAAUCUUCCUUGCUGCACAGCUAGAGAGAGACAUGCACUCACCGUGAUUUUGUCGAGCUUCACUUAUGUCCUUUGAUUAGGCAAUUCAGCUCACAUGUGUUUCACUUAUAUCUUUAGAGCUAGUUGAUUUUGCUCUAUGUGUUUCACUUAUAUCUUUAGAGCUAGUUGAUUUUGCUCUAUGUGCUCCACUUAUAUCUUUUAGAGCACAGCAACGCGUGGCGUGGUAGUUGAUCUAUGCUAUGAAAGUAGUCUCAAAAGGGGUAGUUAUCCAAAGGGAUAUGAAAACUUCCACCUUCAUGUGCAUUGAGUAGUUAGAGAAGUUUGAUUCAUCUCAAUUAGUUUUGAGUUGUGGUUGUGGUAAUAUUGAAGAUAUACUAGUAAGGUGUUGUGGAUCUAGAAAUACUUGUGUUGAAGUUAGUGAUUCCCGUAGCAUGCACGUAUGGUGAACUGCUAUGUUAGGAAGUCGGAGCAUAGUUGAUUUAUUGAUUGUCAUCCUUUGUGUGGCGGUCGGGAUCACGCGAUGGUUAACACCUACAAACCCUUCCUUCUUUUCCCGUGUCCCUACUUGAAGUUAGCUAGGGCCUCUAAAGGCACCACAAGCAGGAGGGCUUGGAUCUCGGGGGUCUUGCCAUCCUCGGGUAAGGGCGAAGGGCACUUGAUACGUCCCUCCUUGGAAUCCCAUUUAUAGGGACAAUUGAUGAACUUGAAUUAAUAUGAAAAGAAGGAUUGAUUAAAAUCUACGGCGUUGGCUGAUACAUCUCAAACAUAUCUAUAAUUUUUGAUGGUUUCAUGCUGUUAUCUUGUCAACUUUGGAUGUUUUAUAUACCUUUUAUAUCUUUUUUGGGACUAACUUAUUAAUUCAGUGCCAAGUGCCAGUUCCUGUUUUUUCUGUGUUUUUGACUCUUUUCAGAUAUGAUUUUGGAACGGAGUCCAAACGGAAUAAAACCCCCGAAAUAAUUUUUUCCAGAACAGAAGAAGAUCGGGGGACUUGAGGGCCAAGGAAGGAGGCUCACGGGGAGCCCACAAACCCUGUGGCCGCGGCUAGGGGGGCCCGCGGCCACCAGGCUUGUGGCCUCCCUGGAGCUCCCGUGCCCUAGCUCUUUGGCCGAUAUAUUCCCUAAAAUCCCAGAAAAAAUCAGGGCGUCCACGAAACCACUUUUCCGCCACCGCAAGCUUCCGUUUCCGCGAUAUCUCAUCUAGAGACCCUUCCCGGUGCCGUGCCGGAGGGGACUUUCGAGCUGGAGGGCUUCUACAUCAACAUCAUUGCCUCUCCAAUGACUCGUGAGUAGUCCACUUUAGACAUACGGGUCUGUAGUUAGUAGCUAGAUGGCUUCUUCCCUCUCUUGGAUCUUCAAUACAAAGUUCUCCAUGAUCUUCAUGGAGAUCUAUCCAAUGUAAUCCUCUUUGGCGGUGUGUUUGUCGAGAUCCGAUGAAUUAUGGAUUUGUGAUCAGAUUAUCUAUGAAUUAUAUUUGAGUCUUUGCUGAUUUCUUAUAUGCAUGAUUUGAUAUCCUUGUAAGUCUCUCCGAGUGUUGGGUUUUGUUUGGCCAACUAGAUCUAUGAUUCUUGCAAUGGGAGAAGUGCUUGGUUUUGGGUUCAUACCAUGCGAUGACCUUUCCGAGUGACAGAAGGGGCAGCAAGGCACGCAUCGUGUUGUUGCCAUCAAGGGUAACAAGAUGGGCUUUCAUCAUAGAUUUGAGAUUGUCCAUCUACAUCAUGUCAUCUUGCUUAAGGCGUUACUCUGUUCUCAUGAACUCAAUACACUAGAUGUAUGCUGGAUAGCGGUCGACGUGUGGAGUAAUAGUAGUAGAUGCAGAAAGUAUCGGUCUACUUGUUUUGGAUGUGAUGCCUAUAGAUAUUAUCAUUGCCAUAGAUAACGUCAUGACUUUGCGCCGUUCUAUCAAUUGCUGGACAGUAAUUCGUUCACCCACUGUCUACUUGCUUUCAUGAGAGAAGCCACUAGUGAACACUACGGCCCCCGGGUCUAUUCACAACUAGCAUCUCCGCUUUCACUUUUACUUUGCUUUGUUUCCUUUUUUGUUUUCAGUUCUCACUUUGCAAACAAUCUAUAAGGGAUUGACAACCCCUUCAUAGCGUUGGGUGCAAGCUCUUUGUGUUUGUGCAUGUACUUGUGACUUGACGCGAUCCUCCUACUGGAUUGAUACCUUGGUUCUCAAACCGAGGGAAAUACUUACCGCCGCUGUGCUAUAUCACCCUUUCCUCUUCAAGGAAACACCAACGCAAGGCUCCAAGGCCACGGGGGAAUCCUUUGCAUAUUUGCCAAGGAAAUCCCUAUAGGCGUAGCCCACAGGAGAAGGAUUUCUGGCUCCGUUGCCGAGGAAGGUCUGUUGUUGCAGUAGCAUUGGCACUUAGCUCGGAUGGAGUGCGAGGCCUUAUAGCCGUUGUCCGGUCCAAUUACGGAGAAUUCAUUCUGGGAAGGCUUAAAGAGAGUUGUCCACAUACCAUCGAUAUUUGUGCGGAAGAUGAUCCACAAUGUUGGGGUGUCUUUAGGCUUGUACGUGCACACCGGGCCGGCUUGGAGCUGAAGCGGUAAGAUGUAGCGAUGGAGCAUCACGUCGACCAGGUUCACUAGAUCCAUUUUCUUCUUCUUGAGGGCUCGGAUCCUCUCUCGUAGGAAAACUAGAUCCUUCGGAUUCCCCCACCCUAGGCCUUGCCUCUUCCAGGACUUCUGCUUCCUUGGAGGCAAGCCUGUGAAGGGGGGAGGUGCAGCCUGGUUGGCGAUGAGUGGCUUAGUGAUAUAGAACCACGCGCUCUCCCAAUUCUUCACAAUUUUGGUGCAGGUUCCUUUCAGCCACUCCGUCUUCUGAAGCUUGCACAUCAUGGCAACCAUGCAUUCGGCGAACUCGUCAAUGCCACCACUCUUGGGCUUGACAAAGAAGGUUUUCAGCCAGAGGCUAAAGUGCGCUCCACCCUAAGUAAUGCCUCGCAUACUGUGAUGAAGGUUGCAAGGCGCAUAAUGGAGUUUGCGGCAAGAUUAUAGAAAUCUAGACCGUAGAAAAAAAGGAUCCGUGGCACAAAAGGGUGCGAGGGGAACUCCAAGCCUCAAAUGAGGUGGGAGAUGAAGACGACCCACUGAUUAGUCUUGGGAGUGGGGAUGGGCUCGCAUGUCUAUGGAGCCCGGCAAGCAGCAUCAAUGGGGUUGUACUACGUUGACCUGAACGCCUCGAUGGUGGCGUCUGUAACCUUGGAGGCCACCCAUCUCCCUUUCAGACCCACUUUGUCCAUGGAUGUGGAAAGCUUCGAGCUUGGAAAGGGGGAUUGGGUGUGCUAGCAGCUUCGAGUGUUUAGAGUAGAAGGGGGGCAUGGGUUAAAAAAUUCAUCGCUUCCUAUUCUUUAUAAGCCAUUAAAAGGUGAAGCAUCGAUAACUCACAAGUAUAGAAGAUCACGACAGUCUUCACGGGUAGUAUUUCUCCCCAAUUUAUUGAUUUGACACAAGGGGAGCCAAAGAAUAUUUAUCGGCCUUGACAGUUGAGUUGUCAAUUCAAGCGGACCUUGGAAUUCUCUCUGCAACAAAGGAUUUAGUACCGCGGCAAAUAAUAGUAGUAGUCAUAACAAUGAUAGCAGCAAUUUUGGUAACAACAGUAAUAGUAGCAUUGAGUAGCAGGUGUGACAGUAGUAGGAGCAGUAGUAACUUAGCAAGAUUCAGUAUAUGUAAAGCUUAGACACAUGGAUCAGCGAUAAAAAAAUAUGGAUGCCACAAUCAUGUAGGAAUUACACACUAGAGUGACAUAAAACUAGCUCCAAUUCAUCAAUAUAAUGUAGGUAUGUAUUUCGUAUAUAGUCAUACGUGCUUUCGAUAAGAACUUGCAUGGCAUCUUUUUUCCUACCCUCCCAUUGUAGCAGGGUCCUAUUGGAAACUUAGGGACAUUAAGGCCUCCUUUUAAUAGAGAACCAGAAUGAAGUAUUAACACAUAGUGAAUACAUGAACUCCACAAACUACGACAAUCAGCAAAAAGAAUCCCAAUUAUUGUCACCUUGGGUUAUGCGGAUCAAGACCCGUAAUAGGUGCGUACAACUUCCAAGAUAGGAUCCAAAUACUUUGAAUAUUCAGAGAGAGCAUAAUAUGUUUAGAUCUAAAAUCAUGGCAUUCGGGCCCUAGUGACAAAAAUUAAGCAUAACAAAGUCAUAGCAACAUCAGUGUGAGAACAUAGUGGAUACUAGGGAUCAAGCCCUAUCAAACUUAACUCAAUUACAUGAUCAAUCUCAUCCAAACCUCAUCACCAUCUGAUACGUCUCCAAUGUAUCUAUAAUUUUUGAUGGUUCCAUGCUAUUAUCUUGUCAUCUUUGGAUGUUUUCUAUGCAUGAAUAUGCUAUUUUAUAUCUUUUUUGGGACUAACCUAUUAACUCAGUGCCAAGUGCGAGUUCCUGUUUUUUCCGUGUUUUUGACCUUUUUCAGAGGAGAAUAUUGAACGGGGUCCAAACGGAAUAAAACCUGCGGAAUGAUUUUUUCCAUAACAGAAGACACGCAGGAGACUUGAGAACCAAGGCAGGGGACCUCGGAGGAGGUCACAAGCCACCCAGGCCCGGCCUAGGGGGGGGGCUAGCAGGCUUGUGGGGCCCUGUGGCUCCCCUGGCCUAGUUCUUCCGCCUAUAAAUUCCCUAAAAAUCUGAAACCACGGAAGAGAGCCACGAAAAUACUUUUCCGCCGCCUCAAGCUUCUGUCUCCGCAAGAUCCCAUCUGGGGUACGUUCUGGUGCCCUGCCGGAGGGGGGGAUUCGGACACGGAGGGCUUCUUCAUCAACACCAUUGCCUCUCCGAUGAUGCAUGAGUAGUUCACCAUAGACCUUCGAGUCCAUAGCUAGUAGCUAGAUGGCUUCUUCUUUCUCUUAGAUCUUCAAUACAAAGUUCUCCAUGAUCUUCAUGGAGAUCUAUCCGAUGUAAUCUUCUUUUGCGGUGUGUUUGUCGAGAUCCGAUGAAUUGUGGAUUUAUGAUCAGAUUAUCUAUGAAUGUUAUUUGAGUCUCCUCUGAUCUCUUAUAUGCAUGAUUUCAUAUCCAUGUAAUUCUCUUCGAGUUGUGGGUUUCAUUUGGCCAACUUGAUCUAUAAUUCUUGCAAUGGGAGAAGUGUUUGGUUUUGGGUUCAUACCGUGCGGUGACCUCACCCAAUGACAGAAGGGGUAGCGAGGCACGUAUCGUGUUUUUGCCAUCAAGGGUAAAAAGAUGGGGUUUAUAUCUAUUGCAUGAAUUUGUCCCUCUACAUCAUGUCAUCUUGCUUAAGGCGUUACUCCGUUUGUCAUGAACUUAAUACACUAGAUGCAUGCUGGAUAGCGGUCGAUGUGUGGAGUAAUAGUAGUAGAUGAAGAAAGUAUCGGUCUACUUGUCUCGGACGUGAUGCCUAUAUGUAUGAUCAUUGCCUUAGAUAUCAUCAUGACUUUGCGCGGUUCUAAUAAUUGCUCGACAGUAAUUCGUUCACCCACCGUAAUACUUGCUAUCAUGAGAGAAGCCUCUAGUGAACACUAUGGCCCCCGGGUCUACUUCACAUCAUAUUUUCAGCUUUACACUUUUACUUUGUUGCACUUUCCACCUUCAGAUCUCACCUUGCAGUUAACCGUGAAGGGAUUGACAACCCCUUUGUAGCGUUGGGUGCAAGUUUGCUUGUUUUUGCGUAGGUACUUUGGAGACUUGCCUUGAUACUCCUACUGGAUUGAUACCUUGAUUUUCAAACUGAGGGAAAUAAUUAUUGCUACUGUGUUGCAUCACCCUUUCUUCUUCAAGGGAAAAACCAACGCAAGCCCAAGAGGUAGCAAGAAUAAUUUCUGGCGCCGUUGCCGGGGAGUAUCAAGUCAAGAAUAGUCUUCCUCCAACGUGUCAAUUUCUGGCACCGGGGACUAUUCUAAGUGAAGCUUAUCCAAGUAAAUGUCGCAAACUCAUCUCUUGCAUUUACCUUUUUUGCCACUAGUUUUCCUCUCCCCCACUUCUGAAAAACAAAAAUUACAAAAAUAUUUGCCUUUUUCGUUCACCCUCUUCUUUCGCUUGCUUUCUGUUUGCUUGUGUGUUUGUAUGCUUGCUGAAGUCACCAUGACUGAAAACACCAAACUUUGUGACUUCUCGAAUACUAAUAAUAAUGAUUUUGUUAGUACUCUGAUUGCUCCCGUCACUAGUGCGGAAUCAUAUGAAAUCAAUGCUGCUUCGCUGAAUCUUGUUAUGAAAGAGCAAUUUUCCGGCCUUCCUAGUGAAGAUGUCGCAUCCCUUCUUAAUACCUUCAUUGAGUUAUGCAAUAUGCAAAAGAAGAAAGAUGUGGAUAAUGAUGUGAUUAAACUGAAGCUAUUUCCGUUCUCAUUGCGAGAUCGAGCAAAAACUUGGUUUUCAUCUUUGCCCAAAAAUAGUAUUGAUUCUUGGAACAAGUGUAAAUAUGCUUAUAUAUCCAAGUAUUUUCCACCGGCUAAGGUUAUCUCUCUCCGUAAUGAUAUCAUGAAUUUUAAGCAACUAGAUCAUGAACAUGUUGCACAAUCUUGGGAGAGAAUGAAAUUGAUGAAUAGAAAUUUGUCACGGCCCUAGAAUAUAGUUUGUAGUUAGUUGCAUCAGUAAGCAUUCAUGGAUGCAUUCAAAUCAAUUUAGUUGAAAUUUGGAUGUUCUACAAAUGGGGAUGACUAAACUCUAACACCAAAAAACAUCCAAAUAGGUUCAACAAGAGAAAAGUCCUAGGUACUCCAUAUUCAAAACAAAACCCUAGCAACUGUAUAUGCAAAACAAUUCAAAAGUGGUGGCAAAUCAAUGAACCAAAAUGGUUUUCAUAAAAGUCCAUCAUUUUUGAUAAAUGUUGGAAAGAAAAUAUCAAGAGUGAUAUAUAUUUUCAAAAUACUUUUGGCAUUUUAUUUUAAACUCAAAAGCCAUUGAAAUCAAUUAAUUAAUUGAUUUCAAAUACUUCCUAGUUUUAUAAAAUGUUGAAAACUUCACAUGGGGUUGGAAAUAUUCCAAAUAACACCCCAGAGUUGUUUACCUAUUUUCUUUGAAUUAGUUGGAGCCAAANNNNNNNNNNNNNNNNNNNNNNNNNNNNNNNNNNNNNNNNNNNNNNNNNNNNNNNNNNNNNNNNNNNNNNNNNNNNNNNNNNNNNNNNNNNNNNNNNNNNCCCCCCCCCCCGGUGAACUCCCGGAACCCAUUCGUCAUUCCCGGUACAUUCCCGGUAACUUCGAAAACCUUCCGGUAAUCAAAUGAGGUCAUCCUAUAUAUCAAUCUUCGUUUCCGGACCAUUCCGAAAACCCUCGUGACGUCCGUGAUCUCAUCCGGGACUCCGAACAACAUUCGGUAACCAACCAUAUAACUCAAAUACGCAUAAAACAACGUCGAACCUUAAGUGUGCAGACCCUGCGGGUUCGAGAACUAUGUAGACAUGACCCGAGAGACUCCUCGCUCAAUAUCCAAUAGCGGGACCUGGAUGCCCAUAUUCGUUCCUACAUAUUCUACGAAGAUCUUUAUCGUUUGAACCUCAGUGCCAAGGAUUCGUAUAAUCCCGUAUGUCAUUCCCUUUGUCCUUCGGUAUGUUACUUGCCCGAGAUUCGAUCGUCAGUAUCCGCAUACCUAUUUCAAUCUCGUUUACCGGCAAGUCUCUUUACUCGUUCCGUAAUACAAGAUCCCGCAACUUACACUAAGUUACAUUGCUUGCAAGGCUUGUGUGUGAUGUUGUAUUACCGAGUGGGCCCCGAGAUACCUCUCCUUCACACGGAGUGACAAAUCCCAGUCUUGAUCCAUACUAACUCAACUAACACCUUCGGAGAUACCUGUAGAGCAUCUUUAUAGUCACCCAGUUANNNNNNNNNNNNNNNNNNNNNNNNNNNNNNNNNNNNNNNNNNNNNNNNNNNNNNNNNNNNNNNNNNNNNNNNNNNNNNNNNNNNNNNNNNNNNNNNNNNNUUUAUCGUUUGAACCUCAGUGCCAAGGAUUCGUAUAAUCCCGUAUGUCAUUCCCUUUGUCCUUCGGUAUGUUACUUGCCCGAGAUUCGAUCGUCAGUAUCCGCAUACCUAUUUCAAUCUCGUUUACCGGCAAGUCUCUUUACUCGUUCCGUAAUACAAGAUCCCGCAACUUACACUAAGUUACAUUGCUUGCAAGGCUUGUGUGUGAUGUUGUAUUACCGAGUGGGCCCCGAGAUACCUCUCCUUCACACGGAGUGACAAAUCCCAGUCUUGAUCCAUACUAACUCAACUAACACCUUCGGAGAUACCUGUAGAGCAUCUUUAUAGUCACCCAGUUAAGAUGCGACGUUUGAUACAAACAAAGCAUUCCUCAGGUGUCAGUGAGUUAUAUGAUCUCAUGGUCAUAGGAAUAAAUACUUGACACGCAUAAAACAGUAGCAACAAAAUGACACGAUCAACAUGCUACGUCUAUUAGUUUGGGUCUAGUCCAUCACGUGAUUCUCCCAAUGACGUGAUCCAGUUAUCAAGCAACAACACCUUGUUCAUAAUCAGAAGACACUGACUAUCAUUGAUCAACUGGCUAGCCAACUAGAGGCAUGCUAGGGACGGUGUUUUGUCUAUGUAUCCACACAUGUAAAUGAGUCUUCAUUCAAUACAAUUAUAGCAUGGAUAAUAAACUAUUAUCUUGAUACAGGAAUUAUAAUAAUAACUAUAUUUAUUAUUGCCUCUAGGGCAUAAUUCCAACANNNNNNNNNNNNNNNNNNNNNNNNNNNNNNNNNNNNNNNNNNNNNNNNNNNNNNNNNNNNNNNNNNNNNNNNNNNNNNNNNNNNNNNNNNNNNNNNNNNNAUCACUUGGAACAACUAAUAGGUUCAACAUAGGCACAGUAAUCAUUCGCUUAACUUUGAUUCAAGCACUCCCUUGUUAACAAAGGAACGAGACAGAAAUAGCAAGCUCGCUAAGCCAGAAGAUGCAUAUUCAGUACAGAGCGAUCUCCUUUCCAGCCAAAACACAAUCUAGCCGUACAGUGUUAAGCUACCACCAUGUACGAUUAAUAGGUGCCUUAAAAGCAUAAAACAUAGAGGGGUGAGGGGCAGGAACGGAGGGCAUCAAUGCUCCAGGUGGAAAACGCAUUCGGUCAAGCGCUGCAGUUUGCUUGCAUCAAGCUUCUGGUUUGUCUGGGGCUUUUGCUUUCUGACAGUAAGCAUCUUGGCUGCCGCAUCCAGACUCCAACCAUUUUGCACAGCAUCUGCAUCCAGGAACAAGGCAAUGGUUGUUAUCAACUGCAUUGGCACAAGUAAAAGCAACAGUGCAGCAAUAAAAAUCUAAGAAGCACAUGCACAAUCAGUUUCUAAGACAACACUAAUGUAUGUGAUGUCGAACAAGGAAAAGCAACUGUGCAACAACAGACGAACAACUAGUCAAACUGGAACCAAGUUAAACGGCCUAAACCUUAUUACCUAGGAGGGAUUUUGGUAAUUAGAAGUGUAAGAAAGGAUUCACUUAUUCAAGUAAAAGUGCAAAAACAGAGAAGUAGUUGGUUGCAUCAAGUUUUUAGAAAAUUAUAUCGAUAUCGACAAUAUGAAAUUUAUAUCAUUUGAUCCAUCAUGAAAAGUGGUUUCAUAUUUUAUCUAUUAGGUAUUGCAGAUGUUGUUACUUUAUUCUAUAAUCCUGGUCAAACAUUCAAAUGGUUGACUUGCACGGAAAUCAAUACACCUUAUAUUCUGGAACGGAGGGAGUAUUCCUAUUCGUAUAAAAAAACCAACAAAGUAAUACUCCCUCCGUCCCAAAAUAAGUGUCUCAACUUUGUACUAGCUCUAGUGCAAAGUUGUACUAACCUUGAGACACUUAUUUUGGGACAGAGGGAGUAAUUGUGUAAGUAAUAGGGAGUAUUACUCUUGCUCUAUUACUUUAGACAAGAAUUCAAAUUAUGAAUAAGUAGCAAAAUCAUUGUGCCUCAUCACAUUUAAUUCAAAAACUAGGUUCCACAAAAAUUUCUGCAUUACUGUACAAGUUGAUAAGCAAACAAUAGUGUGAAUGUGCAGUGUACAAUCUAGGAAACAAUAGUUUGAUGGUCUGAAAUGGAAUUGACUGCCAUAUUAGAAAGGUUUCUCUGUUGUGUGCUCAGUCGACUAGCAAGGCAAGGGCAUUGUAAUAAACAUAUAACUUUAUCUACAAGCAGAAGAUCAUUAUGCUUGAGGCAAUUAUUCAGAACCCCAGAGAUUGGCACUUGAGGAUUUAACACCUGAUAAGGUCUCAGGGCGAAGGACACAUGUCAGCGCGACAGAAGGGUUGUAAAUGAUUAAGUGUGCCAAUCCUUGGGGUCGUAAAUCCAAGUUUACUGAGAUUUCUAAGAUGUGAAGCAGAGCAGCAGAGCACUUGCGCCUUCAAAUAAAUCAUACUCAUCUCAAUAUCAGAAGGAACGCAGGACAUAUACAUCACAGACGCUUAAAUAGCAGAUGGACACACACAGAGAGUAGGCAUGUUGUUUCUCGUAAUAUAAGUUAGAUAUAUCAGAAGGAUAGGAUUUCUGAAAGACAUAACUGAAUCCGGGUACUCCUGGCCAGCAUUAUAUGUGUUCAGAGAAGUAUACAAAAUCAAUAAAAAAGGAAAGAUAGCCAUCUCAAAUAUGCUUAGGUUUGCCGGUGCAGAUAAUGACACAUGCUCCUCAAGGAUAUCAACAGAACUGAUCUCACACAGUAACUAAAUUAGAGUUUGAUCUACAUAUUAGGGAAGGAUCUAUUAUUACUCUUAUCUUAGAUUUAAUAAAAAAAUGCAGUUUACAUGUUUCAAACCAGUCAAGCAAUUAAACAGAUUAGAAUGCUCAAAACUAGCUAUUAUCUAGCUGAAUUGAAAAACGUACAGUUAGUAGCAUCCUCCUCGCUCAUCCCCAUGAAGUGAGCCACAUCUGCAAUGCUGAUUGUGGUAUACGCAGAAGUCAACAGCUCAAAUAUCCUCUUUCUGUAGCUUUCUACACAUUACAAGCCAAAGUGAAAACUCCAUGUUAACCAGUAAGGCAAUAGAGCAAUCGAAAACAAAAACAAAUAUAUGAGUAGUUCCAAACAUUGUAAGUAAGACAAGAUCAGUAAACCAUGCAAGUAACAGGGACAAUAUUACCCCGAUGAUAAGUUCAGACAUCAACCUUUUUUCCAGCAGGAAAAUACCGCAAGGGAUUCAUACAAGAAAUUAACCUCUCUAGAUCUACAAAAAUACCACAUCGGUACCACAAAAAGGGUUGUAGCUGCCAUAACUGUAUUUUUUAUUAGAGAAACAGCCCCUACCUGCAGUAUUUAGGGGCGAAAUAGGCAACAUCUUAUCUAAAACCAAAAUCAUAUGUGGAUACAAUGUAAUCCCAUUGGACAACCAUCUGUGGGAUAGAGCUCUUCAGCGACCAGACAAUCAUAGCAAAAAACUCUACUUCCAAUAUCACAUUCAAAUUGAGCGAGGAUCUUGUCCAAUUAAAAAGAAAAACCUUCUCCAUGAAUACUCCAUAAGGAGCAACCUACUUAUCUGCUUCGCCUCACCCCCACCACAAAACAGAACUACCACAGCUCUAUCAAAGCUAGCAAUCCAAACUACAUUACAUUACACAACUAGCGCAGGAAAACUAUAUUACUAUCUCAAAAAAUAAAAAAUAAACAAGGGCAAUACCUAGGAAGCCAGCCAUAAAAUCAGCGAUUUCAGGGCCCCACUCGAACCCCUGUGCGGAAGUAUAGACCCCAGCAUAGUCACGGUUCCAGAGGCACUGUCCAAUCUUCCAGAUGGCGCCCAGCUCCGGAUGAGCGUCCUUCACCUCCUGUGGCACCGUCUUCCAGAGAAACCUGGCGCUGUUCCUGCUCACGCGCCCAGAACACACAUCAUUGUCACGGUAGCGCUAGGUUAAAAAUUCCAAAUCCGAGCGCGGAAAAGGUAACAGGAAAAUAAGGGGGGCGGGAGCAGAUUACAUACAGGUCGUUGAGGUAGAGAUGGGCGAGGAGAUGAACGGCGUAGGGCCAGUCGUCGGUGGCGACGCCCCGGGACGCGACCUGCGAGUCGAGUCGUGGAGCGCGUUAGGGUGGGGGGUCGGGGGGCAGAGGGAGGGGAGCCGCUUGGUCGCUAACCCUUGUACGGGUGGGACGGGGGAGAGGGGAAGGGGGUUUCCGUACCUGGAGGAGGAGGUCGUCGCAGAGGGUGGCCAUGGCGGAGUAGGACUUGGCGGAAAGCGCGGCGUGGACGGCUGAGAGAUCCAUCGGAGAAGGAGGGGGAGGAGAUCGCCGGCGGUGGGGUGUUGGAGGCGAGGGUUUUGGCCUCUGAGAUUGUGCGAUUCCAAUAAAUUCCGGGCAGCUUUCGACGUCUUGUUUCCGGAGAGAGAGAGAAUACGGAAAGAAUAGGACACGGGAUGGCAUAUCGAUCAAACAGAUCUAGCCCAUCCAGCCCAACAAAUUUUUUCGUGGGCUAGCCCAAUCAAUUUGGUUGAUUUGGGUGCGAACUCGGCCCCAGUCGGGCUUUCCUCCCUGCUCUCCCUGAAAAACUCUGGUUUGAGGUUCUAGACUCCCAAAUCAGCAAUUUAAUUAUUCUAGAUUAAAAAGUAAUUUAAUUAUUAUUUUCAGGAUUCAUAUUUCAGUUUUUUAUUUAUCUAUUUUGUGAAAAGGAUAAGAUAUAUUACAAAGAUUCGCCGAAAACAUAAAGCAACUCAAACAUAAUAAAAAUUAUAUCGAGGUCCAUAAACCACCAAACAACCACCGCCACCGCCACAAUGAACCAUCAACACGUCCUUGUCGUCAUCCCCAUACCAGAGCCGGCUUGACCUUAUCGAUGAAAUACUUGAAGUCUUCAUGCAUGUGACCCUAACUAAAAAAAUAUGGAUUUGCUAUGAAAUAACAUAUAUCCUCCCGCAAUCUAGUUGCUCUAAUCUUAAUUACAUAUUCUGAUAUUCCUGUUCUACGUAAGUUGAUAUAGGCAUACAGCCUAAACCUUGACAACCAUGUUUAGGGACAGUUCUUUUGUAACUUAUUUAAAGUUGUGGAAAUAAACUGCCUCUAUCCAGGUUAUUCUAAAUGUCUAAAUUAAAAUUUUAUUUUAAAAGCCUACUAAUUAAAGGUCAACUAAUAGACUUUUAAAAUAAGAUUUUAGUUUGGAUUUCUAGAAUAAGCUGGAUAAGGGUAGCUUAUAUCCACAACCCAAAAUAAGCUACAAAAGAACUGACCCUUAGUCGGUACUUCCUUGUGGUUUUUUCUCCUAAAAAACUUAUUUGUGGUUUUUUCUCUUAAAAUAACUUCUUUGUAGCUUUUUUUAUAAAGUUUCUUUUACAAAGUUGUUAAAUCGGUUUCCCACAUGAUGUUGUUAAAGGGAGUUCAAUCGUGUUAAUUCAAACUCAUAAUUGAUUAUUAUUUUUUCUUAUUAAAUUUAUAAUUUAGUUUUUUCACAUUAAUGCUAAUACCCCUAUAUAACGUAGUAAUAACUUUUCUUCCAAACCUUCAUCAAUCAAUUUGUGUUGACAUCAGAUUUUGGUGUAAUUUAUUCUCAGUUGAGCUGUAUAACCAGUAGCCCCCGAGACUUGGGUUGGGCAACAUGGCCGACCCUAGGAUUGUAUAUCCUCGGGAACUAUUUCAUUCAUUAAGUGUGUUUUGACAACAUUGAGGUGGAGCUCGGCACGGAAGAUGCCGAACUAUAGGUUGGAAAAGAUUCUCCAAGAAGAAUCACCACACAGAAUACCUCGAAUAAGAGGAUGUCCCGUCUCCUGAAAGAAAAUAAACAUAUAAAUAGGUUAAAGGAGCCAUAAGCUUGGCAAACGAAAAAAAAUUAGGAAGAACAUUACGCUUCGAACUAAAUCAAGUUUCUUUCAGGUAUGCAGUAGCCUCCGAGACUCAGGUUGGGUGCGCCCGGCCAAAAUGAGGAUCAAAUCUCCUCGGGAACCAUAUAACGCUUUGAAUUUGCUGCAUUGAAUAAACAAUGCAGUAGCCCCAAGCCUUAAUCUGGGCACGGGUGGUCAAAUUAAGGAUCGAUAUUUUUUUAACACAAAAUUUGUUACGUUUGACACAAUUUAAGUGUAAUGAUUCUAUGUAUCCGAGUACUUUAGCUCAUUAAUGCCUAAAUAUGCAUUGUACAAUACUUUUUUGACCAACCAUUGGCUUCAACCUCCAUGGCCAGUAGCCGAGGAGUGUUUGCCCUGCUUUAUAAAGCCUUUAUAAGGGCAAAUAUUUAUGGCAAACAAGGCAAUCCGGCCAUACAGUUUUAUAAACAAAGGUACGCGGAGAGAUUACGUAAAAAAUCUUCUGGAGAAAAUAAUUCAUUUGUAAGUUCCUUUUCCCAGGAUAUCAUGUUUGACCAUGAUCGUGAAACCUCAAACCCGAUCAAUGUGGGAGGAAAAUAUUGAGGAUUUAGUUCGUGGAAUGUUCCCGAACUCUAUGGUCCUUAAUGAACCAAAAUUUCCACUUCCGUCGUUGUCGACCAAUUAUAUUCUUAAGAUGGCUAGCUUUCGACUUCACCAAUGUGAGGUACUAACCAAGAUGACCCGAAAGUAACAAUCACAGAGGUGCUCCCUUUACCCCCUAACCGAACAAUCGGGAACAUAGUGGGUAACAAUAGGAGCUAGGUAACCCAGCUUGGCUAAAAUCUUAAGUCAAAUUGAUGCAUAUCUAUGGCUUUAUAACGACGACUACGGAAGCAUGCUUUUGUAUAUUAAAUACAAAUGUUGAUGAGAUGUUGGCCUCUCCAGGAAUCCCGAUGUGUCUAUACCGAGGUGUCACAAGGAACCCUCGGUAUAGUUUAUUUUGACUCCGUUGCGACUAUUUAUAAUCUGAAAGUGGCCUAUCAUCGGCUUCCACCCCUUUGUAGAUGCUACGCAGGGUGUUUCCGUACAAACAAGACAACCCUUAGCCGACGUCUCGGUGCCCGAAGGCGGUUGUGUUAGUGGAAACAAGGCAAUCGGAUAUUCGGGAUUUAUAAAUUUCACUUAGUCAUAGGAGCAUAUGUUUGGGGGCAACUUAAUAGCCCCCGGUAUACGUCGACUCCUCGGAUUAUUUGAGGUCGAACAACCCACAACUUGGCCUUUUCAAGAAUGAAAGGCUCUUCGUUUUACUCGGAUAACCUCGAUCAGCCAUAUUUGGUUAAACACCGCAUGCGGUUCGCUGACCGAUUUAUGCUUUUUGUGACAGUCAGCUUUCGGCUUUCUCCAGCUCAGGCACUUAACGAGUUAAACUAGAAGUGACAAUCACAGUGGUUUUCCCUUUACCCCCUAGCCGAACAAAGUGGAAACUAAGGGGUAAGCACAGGAGCCGGGCAAUUCAACUAUAGACCAAAGACACAACUCGAAUUCAAUGCAUAUAAAUGAGAAAUACCAAGGACAUUUUGUCGAGGAGUGCAUGGCGUACCUCGGUGUUUGUGGGUUCGGUGCUAAUCGCAAACCCCCUUUAAUAUUGUUGAUGCGUGAAAUGCAUCUCGCGUUGUGCUACAAAAAUUUAUGCUCGAAAAAAACAAAAAACUUUAUGCAAAAAACUUUAUGUUUAGAUUAAAAAAUUGUGCCAAUCCAAAGUUGGUCUAAAAUUUAAUUUGUGCUUCGGUCGUGCUUUAACAUGAUACAUCCAAUCUCCAGACGCCAAUCGGGUCAACCUUUGGCUUCAACCUCCAUAUCCCGAAGGCGAAGUGUUUCUCCGAGGCAUAUUUAACAAACUAAACUCGAGCGGCUUUAGAAAGAAACCAGGCUAUCCGACUAUUGACCACACAGUAGUGUCGGAAAAUGGAGUAGUAGAAAAAGACUUUGCAACGACCAAGAAGGAAACACAUUUAUUAUGAAAUGGCUCAUAGAAAUUUAAGAGCCCCCGGUUAACGUGGGUAAAGGAAAUGUUGUUAUCAAACAAACUUUUUUGUUUGACACAAAUAUAAUGCUUGGCCGAACCAAACAAUAAAUAAAAAUUGAAACAAGUUGAGCAUAAAAAUGACUUAGGUGGUUAAUGUUGGAAUUAUGCCCUAGAGGCAAUAAUAAAUAUAGUUAUUAUUAUAAUUCCUGUAUCAAGAUAAUAGUUUAUUAUCCAUGCUAUAAUUGUAUUGAAUGAAGACUCAUUUACAUGUGUGGAUACAUAGACAAAACACCGUCCCUAGCAUGCCUCUAGUUGGCUAGCCAGUUGAUCAAUGAUAGUCAGUAUCUUCUGAUUAUGAACAAGGUGUUGUUGCUUGAUAACUGGAUCACGUCAUUGGGAGAAUCACGUGAUGGACUAGACCCAAACUAAUAGACGUAGCAUGUUGAUCGUGUCAUUUUGUUGCUACUGUUUUAUGCGUGUCAAGUAUUUAUUCCUAUGACCAUGAGAUCAUAUAACUCACUGACACCGGAGGAAUGCUUUGUGUGUAUCAAACGUCGCAACAUAACUGGGUGACUAUAAAGAUGCUCUACAGGUAUCUCCGAAGGUGUUAGUUGAGUUAGUAUGGAUCAAGACUGGGAUUUGUCACUCCGUGUGAAGGAGAGGUAUCUCGGGGCCCACUCGGUAAUACAACAUCACACACAAGCCUUGCAAGCAAUGUAACUUAGUGUAAGUUGCGGGAUCUUGUAUUACGGAACGAGUAAAGAGACUUGCCGGUAAACGAGAUUGAAAUAGGUAUGCGGAUACUGACGAUCGAAUCUCGGGCAAGUAACAUACCGAAGGACAAAGGGAAUGACAUACGGGAUUAUACGAAUCCUUGGCACUGAGGUUCAAACGAUAAAGAUCUUCGUAGAAUAUGUAGGAUCCAAUAUGGGCAUCCAGGUCCCGCUAUUGGAUAUUGACCGAGGAGUCUCUCGGGUCAUGUCUACAUAGUUCUCGAACCCGCAGGGUCUGCACACUUAAGGUUCGACGUUGUUUUAUGCGUAUUUGAGUUAUAUGGUUGGUUACCGAAUGUUGUUCGGAGUCCCGGAUGAGAUCACAGACGUCACGAGGGUUUCCGGAAUGGUCCGGAAACGAAGAUUGAUAUAUAGGAUGACCUCAUUUGAUUACCGGAAGGUUUUCGGAGUUACCGGGAAUGUACCGGGAAUGACGAAUGGGUUCCGGGAGUUCACCGGGGGGCAACCCACCCCGGGGAAGCCCAUAGGCCAUAAGGGUGGCGCACCAGCCCUUAGUGGGCUGGUGGGACAUCCCAAAAGGGACCUAUGUGCCAAGGAUAAGAAAUCAAAGGAAAAAGGAAAAAAAAAGGAGGAGGUGGGAAGGGAGGGGGACUCCCUCCCACCAAACCUAGUCCAACUCGGUUUGGGGGGGGAGAGUCCUCCCCCUUGGCUCGGCCGACCCCCUUGAGGGUCCUUGGACCCCAAUGCAAGGCCCCCUCCCUCCCACCUAUAUAUACGGAGGUUUUAGGGCUGAUUUGAGACGACUUUUCCACGGCAGCCCGACCACAUACCUCCACGGUUUUUCCUCUAGAUCGCGUUUCUGCGGAGCUCGGGCGGAGCCCUGCUGAGACAAGGUCAUCACCAACCUCCGGAGCAUCGUCACGCUGCCGGAGAACUCUUCUACCUCUCGGUCUCUCUUGCUGGAUCAAGAAGGCCGAGAUCAUCGUCGAGUUGUACGUGUGCUGAACGCGGAGGUGCCGUCCGUUCGGUACUAGAUCGUGGGACUGAUCGCGGGAUUGUUCGCGGGGCGGAUCGAGGGACGUGAGGACGUUCCACUACAUCAACCGCGUUCUCUAACGCUUCUGCUGUACGGUCUACAAGGGUACGUAGAUCACUCAUCCCCUCUCGUAGAUGGACAUCACCAUGAUAGGUCUUUGUGCGCGUAGGAAAUUUUUUGUUUCCCAUGCGACGUUCCCCAACAGUGGCAUCAUGAGCUAGGUUCAUGCGUAGAUGUCUUCUCGAGUAGAACACAAAAGUUUUUGUGGGCGGUGAUGUGCGUUUUGCUGCCCUCCUUAGUCUUUUCUUGAUUCCGCGGUAUUGUUGGAUUGAAGCGGCUUGGACCGACAUUACUCGUACGCUUACGAGAGACUGGUUUCAUCGUUACGAGUAACCCCCUUUGCUCAAAGAUGACUGGCAAGUGACGGUUUCUCCAACUUUAGUUGAAUCGGAUUUGACCGAGGAGGUCCUUGGAUGAGGUUAAAUAGCAACUCAUAUAUCUCCGUUGUGGUGUUUGCGUAAGUAAGAUGCGAUCCUACUAGAUACCCUUGGUCACCACGUAAAACAUGCAACAACAAAAUUAGAGGACGUCUAACUUGUUUUUGCAGGGUAUGAUUGUGAUGUGAUAUGGCCAACGAUGUGAUGUGAUAUAUUGGAUGUAUGAGAUGAUCAUGUUGUAAUAGAAAUAUCGACUUGCACGUCGAUGGUACGGCAACCGGCAGGAGCCAUAGGGUUGUCUUUAUACUAACGUUUGUGCUUGCAGAUGCGUUUACUAUUUUGCUAGGAUGUAGCUUUAGUAGUAAUAGCAUAAGUAGCACGACAACCCCGAUGGCAACACGUUGAUGGAUGAUCAUGGUGUGGCGCCGGUGACAAGAAGAUCGUGUCGGUGCUUUGGUGAUGGAGAUCAAGAAGCACGUGAUAAUGGCCAUAUCAUGUCACUUAUGAAUUGCAUGUGAUGUUAAUCCUUUUAUGCACCUUAUUUUGCUUAGAACGACGGUAGCAUUAUGAGGUGAUCUCUCACUAAAAUUUCAAGACGAAAUUGUGUUCUCCCCGACUGUGCACCGUUGCUACAGUUCGUCGUUUCGAGACACCACGUGAUGAUCGGGUGUGAUAGACUCAACGUUCACAUACAACGGGUGCAAAACAGUUGCGCACGCAGAACACUCGGGUUAAGCUUGACGAGCCUAGCAUGUGCAGACAUGGCCUCAGAACACAUGAGACCGAAAGGUCGAUCAUGAAUCAUAUAGUUGAUAUGAUUAGCAUAGGGAUGCUUACCACUGAAACUAUACUCAACUCACGUGAUGAUCGGACUUGGGAUAGUGUAAGUGGAUCAUGAACCACUCAAAUGACUAGAGAGAUGUACUUUUUGAGUGGGAGUUUAGCAUAUAAUUUGAUUAAGUUGAACUCUAAUUAUCUUGAACAUAGUCUAAGUCCACUUUGAAUAUAUUUGUGUUGUAGAUCAUGGCUCACGCGACAGUCAUCCUGAAUUUUAAUACGUUCCUAGAGAAAGCUAAGUUGAAAGAUGAUGGAAGCAACUUUGUAGACUGGGCUCGUAAUCUUAAGCUGAUCUUACAAGCUGGGAAGAAGGAUUAUGUCCUUAAUGCUGCACUAGGAGAUGAACCACCCGCUACGGCUGAUCAGGAUGUUAAGAACGCUUGGUUAGCACGUAAGGAGGACUACUCAAUAGUUCAAUGUGCAGUCUUGUAUGGCUUAGAACCGGGACUUCAACGUCGCUUUGAGCGUCAUGGAGCAUUUGAGAUGUUCCAGGAGUUGGAGUUUAUCUUUCAGAAGAACGCCCGGAUCGAGAGGUAUGAGACCUCCGAUAAAUUCUAUGCUUGCAAAAUGGAGGAAAACUCGUCUGUCAGUGAACAUGUGCUCAAAAUGUCUGGGUACUCAAACCGUCUAGCUGAGCUGGGGAUUGAACUCCCGCAAGAAGCUAUCACUGACAGAAUCCUUCAAUCACUGCCGCCAAGCUAUAAAGGCUUUGUGUUGAACUACAACAUGCAAGGGAUGAACAAGUCUCCCGGCGAGUUGUUUGCGAUGCUGAAAGUCGCAGAGUCUGAACUCCGUAAAGAGCAUCAAGUGUUGAUGGUGAGCAAGACCACUAGUUUCAAGAGAAACGGCAAAGGCAAGAAGGGCAAUUCGAAGAAGAGCGGCAAGCCUGUUGCCAAUCCACCGAAGAAACCCAAGGCUGGACCUAAGCCUGAAACAGAGUGCUUCUAUUGCAAGGGUAUGGGUCACUGGAAGCGCAAUUGCCCCAAGUAUCUGGCAGAUAAGAAGGCGGGCAAAGAAAAAUCAGGUAUAUUUGAUAUACAUGUUAUUGAUGUGUACUUAACCGGCUCUCGUAGUAGUGCCUGGGUAUUCGAUACCGGUUCUGUUGCUCACAUUUGCAACUCGAAACAGGAACUGCGGAAUAGACGAAGGCUGGCGAAAGAUGAAGUGACGAUGCGCGUAGGAAAUGGUUCCAAGGUUGAUGCAAUCGUCGUCGGCACAGUGUCACUUCAGCUACCAUCGGGAUUAGUGAUGAACUUAAAUCAUUGUUAUUUAGUGCCUGCGUUGAGCAUGAACAUUAUAUCUGGAUCUUGUUUAUUGCGAGACGCUUACUCUUUUAAGUCUGAGAAUAAUGGUUGUUCUAUUUCUAUGAGUAACAUCUUUUAUGGUCAUGCACCGAAUGUGAGAGGAUUGUUCAUAUUGAAUCAUGAUAGCGAUACGCAUAUACAUAACAUUGAGACCAAAAGAGUUAGAGUAAACAAUGAUAGCGCCAUAUUUUUGUGGCACUGCCGUUUAAGUCAUAUUGGUGUAAAGCGCAUGAAGAAACUCCAUGCUAAUGGACUUUUGGAGUCACUUGACUUUGAUUCACUUGACACGUGCAAACCAUGCCUCAUGGGCAAGAUGACUAAGACUCCGUUCUCCGGAACAAUGGAGCGUGCAAGUGACUUGUUGGAAAUCAUACAUACCGAUGUGUGUGGUCCAAUGAGCGUAGAGGCACGCGGCGGAUAUCGUUAUUUUCUCACCUUCACUGACGAUUUAAGUAGAUAUGGUUAUGUCUACUUGAUGAAGCACAAGUCUGAAACAUUUGAAAAGUUCAAGCAAUUUCAGAGUGAGGUGGAAAAUCAUCGUAACAAGAAGAUCAAGUUCCUACGGUCUGAUCGUGGGGGUGAAUAUCUGAGUUUCGAGUUUGGUGCUCACUUAAGACAAUGUGGAAUUGUUUCGCAUUUAACACCGCCUGGAACACCACAGCGUAAUGGUGUGUCCGAACGUCGUAAUCGUACUUUGAUGGUGCGAUCUAUGAUGUCUCUUACUGAUUUGCCGUUAUCGUUUUGGGGUUAUGCAUUAGAAACAGCUGCAUUCACUUUAAAUAGGGCACCAUCAAAAUCCGUUGAGACGACACCAUACGAACUGUGGUAUGGCAAAAGGCCAAAGUUGUCGUUUCUUAAAGUUUGGGGAUGUGAUGCUUAUGUCAAAAAGCUUCAGCCUGAAAAGCUGGAACCCAAAGCGGAAAAGUGCGUCUUCAUAGGAUACCCAAAAGAGACAGUUGGGUACACCUUCUAUCUCAAAUCCGAGGGCAAAGUGUUUGUUGCUAAAAACGGAGCUUUUCUCGAGAAGGAGUUUCUCUCGAGAGAAUUGAGUGGGAGGAAGAUAGAACUUGACGAGGUUGUCGAACCUCUCAUCCCUUUGGAUGGUGGCGUAGGGCAAGGGGAAACCUCUGUCGUUGCGACGCCGGUUGAGGAGGAAGUUAAUGAUGAUGAUCAUGAAACUCCAGUUCAUGUUUCUGUUGAACCACGCAGGUCGACGAGAUCACGCGCUGCUCCAGAGUGGUACGGUAAUCCCGUCUUAUCAAUCAUGUUGUUAGACAACAAUGAACCUGCAAAUUAUGAAGAAGCAAUGGUGGGCCCAUUUUCCAACAAAUGGCUAGAAGCCAUGAAAUCCGAGAUAGGAUCCAUGUAUGAGAACAAAGUGUGGACUUUGGAGAUACUACCUGAGGGCCGCAAGGCUAUUCAGAACAAAUGGAUCUUUAAGAAGAAGACGGACGCUGACGGUAAUGUGACCGUUUAUAAAGCUCGACUUGUGGCAAAGGGUUUUUCACAAGUUCCAGGAGUUGACUACGAUGAGACUUUCUCACCCGUAGCGAUGCUUAAGUCCGUUAGAAUCAUGUUAGCAAUAGCUGCAUUUUUCGAUUAUGAAAUCUGGCAGAUGGAUGUCAAAACGGCGUUCCUUAACGGUUUCCUUAAGGAAGAGUUGUAUAUGAUGCAACCCGAAGGUUUUGUCGAUCCUAAAAAUGCUGACAAGGUGUGCAAGCUCCAGCGAUCCAUUUAUGGACUGGUGCAAGCAUCUCGGAGUUGGAACAAACGCUUUGAUGAGGUGAUCAAAGCAUUUGGGUUUAUAUAAGUGGUUGGAGAAUCUUGUAUUUACAAGAAAGUGAGUGGGAGCUCUGUGGCGUUUCUAAUAUUAUAUGUGGAUGACAUAUUACUGAUUGGAAACAACGUAGAGCUUUUGGAGAGCAUAAAAGGUUACUUGAAUAAAAGUUUCUCUAUGAAGGACCUAGGAGAAGCUGCUUACAUUCUAGGCAUUAAGAUCUAUAGGGAUAGAUCAAAACGCCUGAUAGGACUUUCACAAAGCACAUACCUUGAUAAAGUUUUGAAGAGGUUCAAAAUGGAACAGUCCAAGAAAGGGUUCUUGCCAGUUUUACAAGGUACGAGAUUGAGUAAGACUCAGUGCCCAGCAACUGAUGAAGAUAGAGAGCAUAUGCGCUCCGUCCCCUAUGCUUCAGCCAUAGGUUCUAUCAUGUAUGCGAUGUUGUGCACUAGACCGGAUGUUAGCCUGGCCAUAAGUAUGGCAGGUAGGUUCCCGAGUAAUCCAGGAGUGGAUCACUGGACAGCGGUCAAGAAUAUCCUGAAGUACCUGAAAAGGACUAAGGAGAUGUUUCUCGUGUAUGGAGGUGACGAAGAGCUCGCCGUAAAAGGUUACGUCGAUGCAAGCUUUGACACAGAUCCGAACGACUCUAAGUCGCAAACCGGAUACGUAUUUAUUCUUAAUGGGGGUGCAGUAAGCUGGUGCAGUUCCAAGCAAAGCGUCGUAGCAGAUUCUACAUGUGAAGCGGAGUACAUGGCUGCCUCGGAGGCGGCUAAGGAGGGUGUCUGGAUGAAGCAGUUCAUGACGGAUCUUGGAGUGGUGCCAAGCGCACUGAAUCCAAUAACCUUGUUCUGUGACAACACUGGUGCCAUUGCCUUAGCAAAGGAACCACGGUUUCACAAGAAGACCAGACACGUCAAACGACGCUUCAACCUCAUCCGCGACUACGUCGAGGAAGAGGACGUAAAUAUAUGCAAAGUGCACACGGAUCUGAAUGUAGCAGACCCGCUGACUAAACCUCUUCCACGGCCAAAACAUGAUCGACACCAGAACUGUAUGGGUGUUAGAUUUAUUACAAUGUAAUUCACAUGGUGAUGUGAGGGCUGGAUUAUUGACUCUAGUGCAAGUGGGAGACUGUUGGAAUUAUGCCCUAGAGGCAAUAAUAAAUAUAGUUAUUAUUAUAAUUCCUGUAUCAAGAUAAUAGUUUAUUAUCCAUGCUAUAAUUGUAUUGAAUGAAGACUCAUUUACAUGUGUGGAUACAUAGACAAAACACCGUCCCUAGCAUGCCUCUAGUUGGCUAGCCAGUUGAUCAAUGAUAGUCAGUGUCUUCUGAUUAUGAACAAGGUGUUGUUGCUUGAUAACUGGAUCACGUCAUUGGGAGAAUCACGUGAUGGACUAGACCCAAACUAAUAGACGUAGCAUGUUGAUCGUGUCAUUUUGUUGCUACUGUUUUAUGCGUGUCAAGUAUUUAUUCCUAUGACCAUGAGAUCAUAUAACUCACUGACACCGGAGGAAUGCUUUGUGUGUAUCAAACGUCGCAACAUAACUGGGUGACUAUAAAGAUGCUCUACAGGUAUCUCCGAAGGUGUUAGUUGAGUUAGUAUGGAUCAAGACNGAGGAAUGCUUUGUAUGUAUCAAACGUCGCAGCGUAACUGGGUGACUAUAAAGAUGCUCUACAGGUAUCUCCGAAGGUGUUAGUUGAGUUAGUAUGGAUCAAGACUGGGAUUUGUCACUCCGUGUGAAGGAGAGGUAUCUCGGGGCCCACUCGGUAAUACAACAUCACACACAAGCCUUGCAAGCAAUGUAACUUAGUGUAAGUUGCGGGAUCUUGUAUUACGGAACGAGUAAAGAGACUUGCCGGUAAACGAGAUUGAAAUAGGUAUGCGGAUACUGACGAUCGAAUCUCGGGCAAGUAACAUACCGAAGGACAAAGGGAAUGACAUACGGGAUUAUACGAAUCCUUGGCACUGAGGUUCAAACGAUAAACAUCUUCGUAGAAUAUGUAGGAGCUAAUAUGGGCAUCCAGGUCCCGCUAUUGGAUAUUGAUCGAGGAGUCUCUCGGGUCAUGUCUACAUAGUUCUCGAACCCGCAGGGUCUGCACACUUAAGGUUCGACGUUGUUUUAUGCGUAUUUGAGUUAUAUGGUUGGUUACCGAAUGUUGUUCGGAGUCCCGGAUGAGAUCACGGACGUCACGAGGGUUUUCGGAAUGGUCCGGAAACGAAGAUUGAUAUAUAGGAUGACCUCAUUUGAUUACCGGAAGGUUUUCGAAGUUACCGGGAAUGUACCGGGAAUGACGAAUGGGUUCCGGGAGUUCACCGGGGGGGGGGGCAACCCACCCCGGGGAAGCCCAUAGGCCAUAAGGGUGGCUCACCAGCCCUUAGUGGGCUGGUGGGACAGCCCAAAAGGGCCCUAUGCACCAAGGAUAAGAAAUCAAAGGAAAAAGGAAAAAAAAGGAGGAGGUGGGAAGGGAGGGGGACUCCCUCCCACCAAACCUAGUCCAACUCGGUUUGGGGGGGGAGAGUCCUCCCCCUUGGCUCGGCCGACCCCCUUGAGGGUCCUUGGACCCCAAGGCAAGGCCCCCUCCCUCCCACCUAUAUAUACGGAGGUUUUAGGGCUGAUUUGAGACGACUUUUCCAUGGCAGCCCGACCACAUACCUCCACGGUUUUUCCUCUAGAUCGCGUUUCUGCGGAGCUCGGGCGGAGCCCUGCUGAGACAAGGUCAUCACCAACCUCCGAAGCGCCGUCACGCUGCCGGAGAACUCUUCUACCUCUCCGUCUCUCUUGCUGGAUCAAGAAGGCCGAGAUCAUCGUCGAGCUGUACGUGUGCUGAACGCGGAGGUGCCGUCCGUUCGGUACUAGAUCGUGGGACUGAUCGCGGGAUUGUUCGCGGGGCGGAUCGAGGGACGUGAGGACGUUCCACUACAUCAACCGCGUUCUCUAACGCUUCUGUUGUACGGUCUACAAGGGUACGUAGAUCACUCAUCCCCUCUCGUAGAUGGACAUCACCAUGAUAGGUCUUCGUGCGCGUAGGAAAAUUUUUGUUUCCCAUGCGACGUUCCCCAACAGUUAAUGUGCUCAGUGUUGAUGACGCGGGUCGGGCUUAUACCGGGUCAAGGUCUGAGCCCCCGAGGUGGUCCCGAGGUGCCCGAGCAAAGAGCUCGGCUUGUUGAAGUGGCGACGCAACACGAUUGAUGUGGUGAGACGAAGCCCCCGGUCUAGCUAACAUCCCGAAGUUGGUCGGCUGAUGACGCCGAAGUUCCCAGAGCAGGUUGAUGAAGAUAUGGAGAAGCCUCCGGUCUAGCUGGAGAUACGAAGCAGGUUGGCGUAUAGGAUGCGGAGUGAGUGCCGAUCGAUGGCCCGGGGUUGGGAUAGAACAGAGAUGUCGACGCCGGGCAACACCCUCCACGGGACGACGAUGUGAGCUCGCCAAGGUGACAGUAGAUUAUCUGGAUGCAUGAAGUGGCACAAGCGGGAGAAUAAUACUUAUAUAAAAAACUUUGCAUAAUUAAUUUAUGCAGAAGAGGUUAUCUGGUAUAUGGUCGCCUAAUCGCUGAAGUCCAAUCGGCCACGUGGAGGGGUCGACACAUGUCAACGGUGUCGAGACGAUGUGCUAAGGGCAUGACGAAGUCAAAUUCGCACACCUUGAUUGACCGUCAAUCAACAGAUCGGAUCUGAGGUAUCCUUGGAAGACGGAUACGGAAGGGCAGGGUCCCAGCCCCCAAGCCGGUCAUGAGUUGGUCGACGAAGAGAUCGACUUGAGGAAGUGACAACAGACCACUUUCAAAGGAUCGAGCCGAAAUCCCCGGUCCAGCCGAGGAGACAGAGUAGUUCGGCAGCGUGACGGCAAAGCCCCCACGUGAGUCGACCAUAUUAACGAUGCAAUUUGAUUGAUGGUGUAAGUCGUCGUAUAGGACAUCGACAUAAUGAAGUGAUAGUGUAGGGAGGCCAACACGGGCAGCGCACCAAGGUGACGGCAAAAUUUAAUUGAAGGAGGCGAGACGAUGACGUCGGCACACCAAGUGACUGUCUAAUAGUCAGAGCCAAUCACCGUGCUCCACUGGUUACCUCAUCGCGAACUAGCGUGAUAGAUGCACAUCACAUCGACGGAGCCACCUCAAGUCUGAAGAGUCGUACUCCCUCCGUCCACAAAUAAGUGUACAUAUAGAUUUGUACUUAGUCAAACUUUUUAAAAUUUGACCAACUUUAUAGAAAUGACAUGAAAAUGAUAUAUUUGGCAACUUCAUGUAAAGACAAAUCUAUUGAUACUAAUUUGAUGUCAUAAAUGCUAGCACUUUUCUCAAUAAAAUUAGUCAAAGUUCAACUAGUUUGACUGACAGAAAAGGAAAAAGUACACUUAUUAUCAAACGGAGGGAGUGUUGGGGAACGUCGCAUGGGAAACAAAAAAUUUCCUACGCACACGAAGACCUAUCAUGGUGAUGUCUAUCUACGAGAGGGGAUUUGGAUCUACGUACCCUUGUAGAUCGCACAGCAGGAAGCGUUAAGAAACGCGGUUGAUGUAGUGGAGCAUCCUCAUGUCCCUCGAUCCGCCCCGCGAACCGUCCCACGAUCCGCUCCGAUCUAGUGCCGAACGGACGGCACCUCCGCGUUCAGCACACGUACAGCUCGACGAUGAUCUCGGCCUUCUUGAUCCAGCAAGAGAGAUGGAGAGGUAGAUGAGUUCUCCGGCAGCGUGACAGCGCUCCGAAGGUUGGUGGUGAUCUAUCUCAGCAGGACUCCGCCCGAGCUCCGCAGAAAUAGGAUCUAGAGGGAAAACCGUGGAGGUAUGUGGUCGGGCUGUCGUGGCAAAGUUGUCUCAAAUCAGCCCUAAUACCUCAGUAUAUAUAGGAGGGAGGGGGAGGGAUCUGCCUUGAGGCUCAAGAGAGCCCCAAGGGAUCGGCCGAAGGGGGGGAGGAGGAGUCCUCCUCCAAUCCUAGUCCAACUAGGAUUGGAAGGUGGAGUCCUUCUCUACCUUCCCACCCCCCUUUUUUUCUCUUUUCUUUUGUUUUUUCUUCUCCUACGCAUAGGGCCUCUUGGGCUGUGUGGGCUGGUGCGGCACCCCUAAGGCCUAUGGGCUUCCCCCGGGUGGGCUGCCCCCCGGGUGAACAUCCGGAACCCAUUCGUCAUUCCCCGUACAUUUCCGGUAAUGCCGAAAACUUUCAGGUAAUCAAAUGAGGUCAUCCUAUAUAUCAAUCUUCAACUCCGGACCAUUCCGGAAACCCUCAUGACAUCUGUGAUCUCAUCCGGGACUCCGAACAACAUUCGGUAACCAACCAUAUAACUCAAAUACGCAUAAAACAUCGUCGAACCUUAAGCGUGCAGACCCUGCGGGUUCGAGAACUAUGUAGACAUGACCCGAGAGACUCCUCGAUCAAUAUCCAAUAGCGGGACCUGGAUGCCCAUAUUGGAUCCUACAUAUUCUCCGAAGAUCUUAUCGGUUGAACCUCAGUGCCAAGGAUUCAUAUAAUCACGUAUGUCAUUCCCUUUGUCCUUCGAUAUGUUACUUGCCCGAGAUUCGAUCGUCAGUAUCCGCAUACCUAUUUCAAUCUUACCAACAAGUCUCUUUACUCGUUCCGUAAUACAAGAUCCCGUGACUUACACUAAGUCACAUUGCUUGCAAGGCUUGUGUGUGAUGUUGUAUUACCGAGUGGGCCCCGAGAUACCUCUCGGUCACACGGAGUGACAAAUCCCAGUCUUGAUCCAUACUAACUCAACGGACACCUUCGGAGAUACCUGUAGGGCAUCUUUAUAGUCACCCAAUUACGUUGUGACGUUUAAUACACACAAGGCAUUCCUCCGGUGCCAGUGAGUUAUAUGAUGUCAUGGUCAUAGGAAUAAAUACUUGACACACAGAAAAUAGUAGCAACAAAAUGACACGAUCAACAUGCUACGUUUAUUAGUUUGGGUCUAGUCCAUCACAUGAUUCACCCAAUGAUGUGAUCCAGUUAUCAAGCAACAACACCUUGCACAUAGUCAGAAGACCUUGACUAUCCUUGAUCAACUGGCUAGGCAACUUAGAGGCUUACUAGGGACAGUGUUUUGUCUAUGUAUCCACACAUGUUUCGAAGUCUUCAUUCAACACAAUUAUAGCAUGGAUAAUAAACGAUUAUCUUGAUACAUGAAUUAUAAUAAUAACUUAUUUAUCAUUGCCUCUAGGGCAUAAUUCCAACAGUCUCCCACUUGCACUAGAGUCAAUAAUCUAGUCCUCACAUCGUCAUGCGAAUUACAUUGUAAUAAAUAUAACACGCAUACAGUUCUAGUGUUGAUCAUGCUUUGCCCGUGGAAGAGGUUUAGUCAGCGGGUCUGCCACAUUCAGAUCCAUGUGCAUUUUGCAGAUAUUCAUGUCCUCCUCCUCGACGUAGUCGCGGAUGAGGUUGAAGCGUCAUUUGAUGUGUCUGGUCUUCUUGUGAAACCGUGGUUCCUUUGCUAAGGCAAUGGCACCCGUGUUGUCACAAAACAGGGUUAUUGGAUUCAGUGCGCUCGGCACCACUCCAAGAUCCGUCAUGAACUGCUUCAUCCAGACACCCUCCUUAGCUGCCUCCGAGGCAGCCAUGUACCCCACUUCACAUGUAGAAUCAGCUACGACGCUUUGCUUGGAACUGCACCAGCUUACCGCACCCCCAUGAAGAAUAAAUACGUAUCUGGUCUACGACUUAGAGUCGUCCGGAUCUGUGUCAAAGCUUGCAUCGACGUAACCUUUUACGGCGAGCUCUUCGUCACCUCCAUAUAUGAGAAACAUCUUCUUAGUCCUUUUCAGGUACUUCAGGAUAUUCUUGACCGCCGUCCAGUGAUCCACUCCUGGAUUACUCUGGAACCUGCCUGCCAUACUUAUGGCCAGGCUAACGUCCGGUCUAGUGCACAACAUUGCAUACAUGGUAGAACCUACGGCUGAAGCGUAGGGGACGGAACUCAUUGUCUUUCUAUCUUCCUCAGUUGCUGGCACUGAGUCUUAGUCAAUUUUAUACCUUGUAAUACUGGCAAGAACCCUUUCUUGGACUGAUCCAUUUUGAACUUCUUCAAAACUUUAUCAAGGUACGUGCUUUGUGAAAGUCCUAUGAGGCGUUUCGAUCUACCCCUGUAGAUCUUAAUGCCUAGAAUGUAAGUAGCUUCUCCUAGGUCCUUCAUAGAGAAACUUUUAUUCAAGUAACCUUUUAUGCUCUCCAAAAGCUCGACGUUGUUUCCAAUCAGCAAUAUGUCAUCCACAUAUAAUAUUAGAAAUGCCACAGAGUUCCCACUCACUUUCUUGUAAAUACAAGAUUCUCCAACCACUUGUAUAAACCCCAAAUGCUUUGAUCACCUCAUCAAAGCAUUUAUUCCAACUCCGAGAUGCUUGCACCAGUCCAUAAAUGGAUCGUUGGAGCUUGCACACUUUGUUAGCAUUUUUAGGAUCGACAAAACCUUCGGGUUGCAUCAUAUACAACUCUUCCUUAAGGAAACCAUUAAGGAACGCCGUUUUGACAUCCAUCUGCCAGAUUUCAUAAUCAAAAAAUGCAGUUAUUGCUAACAUGAUUCUGACGGACUUAAUGUCACGCCCAAGAUGCGACCCUAUCCUCAAUUUGGCACGAAGGCCUCGUCAGGGAUAGAAGCGCAUCUCGUUGUGUCGCAAGAAUGGAUAUCGUUACAAGUACAUGUACUGAAAAGAAGAGAUAUAUAUAGAAUUGGCUUACACUCGCCACAAGCUACAUCAGAGUCACAUCAGUACAUUACAUAAACAUCAUGAAGAAGAGCAGGGUCCGACUACGGUCGAAAACAAACGAGAAAAGAAGAACGACGUCCAUCCUUGCUAUCCCAGGCUGCCGGCCUGGAACCCAUCCUAGAUCGAUGAAGAAGAAGCAACUCCAAAUGAACAAUCAACGCGCUCGCGUCAAGAAACCUUUACAUGUACCUGCAACUGGUGUUGUAGUAAUCUGUGAGCCACAGGGGACUCAGCAAUCUCAUUUCCAAAGGUAUCAAGACUAGCAAAGCUUACUGGGUGAGGCAUGGUUAAGUGGUGAGGUUGCAGCAGCGGCUAAGCAUACAUGAGGUGGCUAAACUUACGAGUACAAGAAAUAAGAGGGGGAAAGAUCUACGCAUGGCGGACGUGAACUACGGUUGAUCAAAUGAAUGAUCCUGAACACCUACCUACGUCAGACAUAACCCCACCGUGUCCUCGAUCGGAGAAGGAACUCACGAAAUAGACAGUCACGAUUACGCACACAGUUGGCAUAUUUUAAUUAAGUUAACUUCUAGUUAUCUAGAACCAGUGUUAAACAAAGUUUUCACGUUGCCACAUAACCGCGGGCAUGGCUUUCCGAAAAGAUUUAACCCUGUAGGGGUGCUCCAACUAGUCCAUCACAAAUUACCACAAGCCGCAUAGAAAUCCUCAAUCACGAAGCUCGCGAUCUCGUCGGAUUCCCUAGUGGAAAACCUCAACUCUGAGAUUACCCAAAGCAUCACCGGAAUCCCGAUGCACAAGAUAUUUCGUCAAAGGUAAAACUAAUCCAGCAAGGCCGCCCGACGUGUCAACGAUCCCGAUAGGAGUCGCGUACCUCGUUCUCCGGACAUGACGGAUGGGUCACACUAGGAGAUACCAAACCUCGGGUUGCCCCACGGUGGCCCCGUAGUGUGCCAAUUUGGACCAACACUCAUGAGGAGCACUGGCCCAGGGGUUGAUUAAAUUAUCCUCGUGUUAAUUACUUCCUAUGCAGUUCAUUAGUUAUUAGGCAAAUGUAGUACCAAAGUUGGGCCUUGCCAGACCAACUUUAAUCUAAUACGAAUUAUCAAGGAGGUCCCCAUAACAACCCCGAUCGUGUUAGGAGCGCUCGUUUAUGGAACAUAACACCGGUAGCCGAAAACUAAGGGGGCAAAUGUGGAACAAAACACCAGGCUAGAAAGGCCGAGCCUUCCGCCUUUUACCAAGUAUAUAAGUGCAUUAAAUUAAAUAGCAUUUAAAUAUGGUGAUAUGACAAGGGACCCAUGUUAUCACAUGGAAGCAUCUGCACCUGCAACUAGCAACGCUAACAACAUGGUUAAGCAAGCAGUAACAUAGCCAAUCAAUGGUUUGCUAGGUCGAACGGGUUGAAGGUAAUCAUGGCAUUGUUGAGAGGCUGAUAUGUAAACAUGUGGUAGGCAACGAGACAUAACCGAUAGCAUCGAAAUAACUAGCAUGACAAUGAUAGUAAUGGUAUCUGGGGAAAUGGUCAUCUUGCCUGAGAUCCCGCUUGGAANUGCAACUAGCAACGCUAACAACAUGGUUAAGCAAGCAGUAACAUAGCCAAUCAAUGGUUUGCUAGGUCGAACGGGUUGAAGGUAAUCAUGGCAUUGUUGAGAGGCUGAUAUGUAAACAUGUGGUAGGCAACGAGACAUAACCGAUAGCAUCGAAAUAACUAGCAUGACAAUGAUAGUAAUGGUAUCUGGGGAAAUGGUCAUCUUGCCUGAGAUCCCGCUUGGAAGAAGAACAACUCCGAGAUGUCGACGAACCAACGUAGUCGAACGAGUCCUCACAUUCCGACACGCUUGCGGAACUCUAUCGAGACGGAGCAAACCGGAAACAAACAUCAACACAAAUAUUCACCACACGAUGCACAACAUGAUGCAUAACCUACUAUGAUGCAUGAUCAGUUCAAAGAUGCAAGGGAUGGCAUGGCAAUUCACCUCACACAAACACUACACAUUAAGUGAAGCUCGAUAUGCAACGGGUUGCAUAUCGAUAAAACUCCACAAUUGAUUAUUUAGUUCACUCCCGAUUAUUUACACGGCAAUAUUAAAUUGUAGUUAACAUGACAAGGGUGAAGCGACGUUCCUACAUGACAUCCUAGUCGGUUAACACGCGGAGCAUAGAACGGAGCUACGGUUAAAUAUCUACGACCUAAACCGUUUAACACGAUGACACACAAACCGAUGCAAACAACAUGCUAAACAGUUUUAAAUAUGCAUGAGACUUGAAAAAAAUAUGAAUCUACGUGAAAUUCUAGCCAUGUUACAUAUAUAACUUCUCGCAAUCCGACGCACGUAUUAAAAGUUACGCGGGUUUUUUUCAAAAUCAUGCAAUUUUUUUCUAAAUUACCAAAUUCGCAGAGCGGAAAAAAAAUGAACAUAGGUCGAAUUGCAACUUGGAGUGGCCCACUAGUGGAUUUAGCCCAAGCGGAUGUGCACACACAAGAAUAAAAUGGAGGCUUCACUAGGAUUCGAUCCCAUGACCUCUUUAGGGGAGAGGAAGGCACCAGCCAGUCGAGCUACGAAGCAUCUGUGAAAGGAUAUGGGUUUUAGUCUAUAUGAAGGAGCAUAAGGGGCCAACCUGAACCAAAAACAAAACAAUCUUUAGGGGAGAGGAAGGCACCAGCCAGUCGAGCUACGAAGCAUCUGUGAAAGGAUAUGGGUUUUAGUCUAUAUGAAGGAGCAUAAGGGGCCAACCUGAACCAAAAACAAAACAAAAAUAGGGGUUCCUGUGAUUCGAACCCUAGACUUCACGAUUGCAAACCCACACGCUAACCAACUAGGCCACCACGAAAUUAUGAAAAACCAUGAGAAGUUCGCUAGAUGAAAGGGCCAUGUUGCUGACUGCAUAAAACUGAAUCUGGAAAGCGUAGUUGCUUCAAGCGAACCUGUCAGGUUCAGACUUGGCAGAACUGACGGCGAUGCACAGGAUUGCACGGCUGGAUCCAUGGGGUGGCUUGGGGACGACGCGGGGUUGGGGUUGCGGUCGCGAUGUAGCAUGUCCAGGCACUGGAAGAUAAGCAAACGAGGAGACAUCGAGGGUAGCGUGGGUCAACGGUGCAGGGAAGACAAAGGCCAUUGCGCUGGACCUGCAGAUGACGUCGACGGCACCCAAUGAUGGAGAAGGACGAAUCCUGGUGGAAUGGACAGUUACGGGCAUGAGGAGUCCAAUCCCGAUGACGAGGGCCUUCUGGGUGGCACGGACGGCAAGCUCCAUGGGCGGCGGCGGAGGGUUUUCCGUUCUGCU
rnacentral:lncRNA from 1 species